UCUUUCCAAUGAAGUGAGGAUGCGUACAAAGGACAGGGAUUCCAGCCGAGGAAAUUCUCUGACAUCCAGUUCGACUAGAGAAGUAGGAAGCUGUUGGAAGGCCACAUAGUCUUCCCUUCCUCCUGCGAUGAAGAGUUCUCGAACUGAGGUAAGGUUGUGGAACCCCAAAUUGAAGAAUAAUGUACAGAUGUUUGGGCCUUCAAGCUCCAGUGUUGUGACUUUUGGGGGGAAACCAACUUCCUCAGGAAUGGAUGCUAUUCGUGGACAAUCUCGUAUUUCCAAACGUUGAAGAGAAGAGAGAUUGUACAUGCCGUUGGGCAGGGCCGUUAGAUAUGGACAACCAAAAAGGAUGAGCUCGCUCAGAUUUGUGGGCAACCCUCCCUCAGCAAAAGAAACCAAAUGAGAACCAACCAUCGAAAUCCUUGUAAUAUGGCCAAGUUUGUGCAGACCAUCCGGUAGUGAUUCUUGAUUAGGGAUCGUAAUUUCCUGGGGCAGAAAUUCCGCUCUUGACUCCUCCAGCCCUGAAUUUGAAGAAUCAGAAACAACUGCUUCAACAGGAUGACUUAUCCAAGCCACCUCACUAAAUCCAUCAAUUUCUAGUUCACAGAGUGGGGGGAGCGCCGUAUAUGACACCAACAAUUGCUCACAACUCCUAAUGACAAUCCUUUCAAGUGAAGAAAAACGCUGGGGCAAUCUACCUUUAAGUUUAGAACAACUUACAAUAGAAAGCUCUCGCAAGCGAGGAAACCCUUUAGCAGCUUCUUGGUCACCACCAGCAGUACCUGCAUGAGAAAUCCAUUCCUCCCAUUCUUGCAUAUCCUUGAAACGAAGAGUCUCUAGUGAUGGAAAAGGCUCUGAGCAAUAAUUUCCACAAAACUCCAGACCAACAUUAUUCACUUUGGCCAUGCCUUUGAUAAAGAGAUUCUUAAGCGAGGGCAAGUGCCCAACUGAUGGCAAGGAGGUACACUGGUUACAAUUUUUAAACCUUAGUACCACCAAAUUAUCAAAUGAGGACUGUCCUAACCAAGCUGGAAAUUUUGAACCACCAUAACCCUGUACUUUCAGCUCUUUCAGUCCAUAAUGAGGUUUUAGCAUCUCAAGAACACGAGUCUGGGUUUGGAUUUCUACUACCUCACUUGAAUCGCUACUAGUAGUACUGUCACCCCAUUUCAGCGAUAGCGCUUCAAGUUUCUCCUUGCCAGUUAAUUGAACUUCCUUGGCAUCUUCAACCUCAUUCACAUUCUCCAAGCCUGAAAUAGUCAGUUUCUCUUGAAGAAGCGCCAAAGAUCUCAACUCUCUUAAACCAGAGCAAUUGCCCUUACCCACAGCGAAUUUGGCCAGUGUUCGGAGACUCGUCAAUUGACCAAUUCUCAAAGGCAUCUCUUCCAAUAGAUUUGAAUGAGAAUUUUUGAGAUGCCGCAAGUUGACAAGGUUCCCUAUGUCCGGAAACAACUUCUUUAGACGGUAACAAUGCUCUACAAUGAGUGUCUGUAAAUUAUAAAGAGAACUGACCGAUUGAGGCAAAACUUCAAUUGCAGAGUGGGAAAAGUCAAGAUACCGUAAAAGCUUCAACUCCCCAAUGUUAUCCGGAAGCUCAAAGAUCCAAUAGCGACACAAGGAUACGGCUCUCAACCGCCGUAGUCUUGGUAUGACAUGAAAAACAAGGUUAUUAGUCACGUACAGCUCCUUCCUUGUGCUAAGUGGCAAUGCUAAGAAAGUUCGCAGAUGUUCAACUUCAUGGAGCCCCUCAAACCUUUUAAUUCCGUCAAAUCUGCUACUGAGAUAAGAGAAAUGACGAAGAUUUCUGGAAAAUAUCCCUUGAUUGUUUCCAUCCCAAUUACUCUCCAUACUAAAGCAUAUUUCUCCCGAGGCCCAACAGGCAAGAUCAUGAAUAAGGUCGUGCAUAAGAAACCGUGAUGCAUCUAUCUUUGACCGUUGGAAAAAUGACCUUGAAUGGAGCACUUGAAAAGACUUGCGGCCUAAUUCUUCCAUUUCCAUCCCAUCAGUCUUAUGUUGUAACAAACCCUCUGCCAUCCAUAGUAAAACUAUUUGCCUCUCAUCAAAUUCAUAGCCCUUGGGUAGCAACGAACAAUGUGCAAAGCAUCGUUUUACAUGUGAAGGAAGAUAGUAAUAGCUAACCCUUAGAGCACGCAUAAUACCGCUUUUAUCUUCAUCCAAAUCCCAGAUUUUGCUAUUUAGCACAUCUUCCCAAUCUUUAGGGUCAUAUUUGUCUCGUAAAAGACCCCCGAGAGUCUUUGCUGCUAGAGGCGAACCGUUGCAUCGGUCCACUAUCUUCUCACCUAUUUCGCUCAAGUAUUGGUGAGCGACAAAAUCUGUUCUUCGCAAGGAGUGUUGAACAAAUAUACGCAAGCAACCAUCACGUAACAAGUUUCCUAAUGAGUGCGCUGCACCAGGAGUGGUCACCAUUGAUGAAACACCUUCAUUCCGAGUUGUAACGAUAAUUUUACUACCUGGUAAGCCAGCUUUAAAUGGUUUGCAUAAGUUUGCUCGGACAUCAUAAUUCUCGCUCCACAUAUCAUCCAAAACAAGUAAAAAUUUCUUGUUUUUCAGUUGAUUCUCCAGCUGCAGUUGAAGCAAGUUUAAAUCAUUGACAUCAACACUUCCAGCAUCUGCUUGUAGUAUCACUUUUGUUAUCCCAACAGCAUCAAAAUCUUCGGAAACAUAAGCCCAGGCUCUGAAAGAAAAAUAUUUUUUCACUCUGACAUCAUUGAAAACAAGUUGAGCAAGAGUGGUCUUCCCCAGACCUCCCAUUCCUGUUAUAGGAAUAACGGAGAAUCCCCGGCCACUAUUUAAAUCAUCCCCCAGCAACAGUCCAACGAUUGCCUCCUUAUCUUUUUCUCUGCCGUAAACUUCCUUUUCAUUCACCGAAGAGGUUGUUGACAGUGGCCUUUCCUGGACUCUGCCGUACCUGAACCCUCCCGAAAUUUCUUUCAAAUCCAGUUGAUCUUUCUCUGCUGCAAUUUAUUUAAAUCUGGCCGUAAUCUCCUCUAUUUGCUUCGCCAUCAUGGAAUCAAACUUGACAGAUCGUCGACUGAAUUUGGUGCAGCAGGCAGGAAUGAGCAUCCGGAACUUACUUGCAGUACCGGUGGGUUGACGAUCAGCUUGUUCAAGCAGCAACAACUUCCUCCGGAAAGCUUCAGUUGCAAACUCAUCCAACAUGUCUUCUGCAUCGUAAGCUAAGUUUUCGAGUUUGCUUAACCACUUCUGCACCAAGGGCUUUGUUAUCUGUUAGGAAAUUGAACUUCCUCCCAAGAUCACUCCAAGCAAUUUAUCAAGCAACAAAUUAAUAAGAAAAUUAAAUGGAGAAUACACCAAUCAAACAACACAAGAUUUACGUGGAAAACUCCAAAUCCGGAGAAAAACCACGGCCGUUGUCACAAGAUAACCAGAGAAAAAUAUUCACUAUGUGGAAAAUUAUUACAACCACACUCUCAGAAAUAAAUUUCUCACCCAAGCCCCAAAUACAUAAUCCCUAAAAUAUAUUCCUUAACAAAGCAAACCCGUAAUACCCAUAUUGAGGAGCCAAAUGCUCCUUCAAUAUAACUACAUGCUUAAGAAUAUUUUUCUUUCUCAAUUUCUCACCAAAACUUGAAUUGCUUCUCUGGGAUUUGGAUACCAAGCUCUCGAAUGAGAGCUUCCUUUUAUAGGCAAGAUUUUGCCUAAAAUCAAGCCCACCAAUCUUGAUCAAAAUUAGUGGCUUAGCCAUCAAAUUUGAUCAACAAAUUUGGUCAACAAAUUUGAAGCUACCUUUCUUUUUUCUUCUUUUUUUUUUAAUCAAUUUUCAAAAAUCUCCACCUUAAUUAAAAAAAAUAAUACAUAACUACUGAUAUAAAGCACCGUCUUCACCAACAGUGAUAAUUCUCAACAUAGAGAAUUAUCAUACUCCACCAUAAAGAGUAUAUCACUUAGAAUCAACCAUUCUAAGAUUUUUUUCCCGGCACAUGUCAAACAUAUCCGCUGAAAAUUAUGGUGCAAUUCUCAUGCUUGGUUUCCCUAAGAAUUCUUCAGCCACGACAUAACUUUUCCACCACACACCUUGCAUUUAUACCAAGCCAAUGCCCGCGUGCAAACUUGUGGACCCCGCUGAUCAUAACAUGUUCUCUUUCAUGGCAACUUGGAGAUCAUAUGCCAAAAGAACUAACCCAGUCUCCUAUCAAAAGGAAACUCACCAUCUGCGAGAAUAUCAGUGUCUCCUUUACUGAUUUUGGAUUAAUUUGCCGAGCCCACUCCACCUUCUUGACAAUUUUCUUGAGGUGCCAAAAUUGUCCACACCUUCAAAUCUUUGUGCAUACCAGAUUGGAUACACCUUUGACUUGAAUUCUCCGCAAGCCAAUAAAAUCAUUCUCCCAUUAAUUUUUCAACAACAUCAAACUUCAACCAAUUUUGAAAAACACCAGCUGCUGACAUAUUUGCUUCCUAUUCUCUUCACCACAUAUUAUUUGGAUUGGCUCCUAUUGCUUCACGUGAACAGUACCGUAUACGUGAAUAGUACCCUGACACCAAAACUUCAAUCAAGGGCUCUGAUACCACUGUUAGGAAAUUGAACUUCCUCCCAAGAUCACUCCAAGUAAUUUAUCAAGCAACAAAUUAAUAAGAAAAUUAAAUGGAGCAUACACCAAUCAAACAACACAAGAUUUAUGUGGAAAACUCCAAAUCCGGAGAAAAACCACAGCCGUUGUCACAAGACAACCAGAGAAAAAUAUUCANNNNNNNNNNNNNNNNNNNNNNNNNNNNNNNNNNNNNNNNNNNNNNNNNNNNNNNNNNNNNNNNNNNNNNNNNNNNNNNNNNNNNNNNNNNNNNNNNNNNNNNNNNNNNNNNNNNNNNNNNNNNNNNNNNNNNNNNNNNNNNNNNNNNNNNNNNNNNNNNNNNNNNNNNNNNNNNNNNNNNNNNNNNNNNNNNNNNNNNNNNNNNNNNNNNNNNNNNNNNNNNNNNNNNNNNNNNNNNNNNNNNNNNNNNNNNNNNNNNNNNNNNNNNNNNNNNNNNNNNNNNNNNNNNNNNNNNNNNNNNNNNNNNNNNNNNNNNNNNNNNNNNNNNNNNNNNNNNNNNNNNNNNNNNNNNNNNNNNNNNNNNNNNNNNNNNNNNNNNNNNNNNNNNNNNNNNNNNNNNNNNNNNNNNNNNNNNNNNNNNNNNNNNNNNNNNNNNNNNNNNNNNNNNNNNNNNNNNNNNNNNNNNNNNNNNNNNNNNNNNNNNNNNNNNNNNNNNNNNNNNNNNNNNNNNNNNNNNNNNNNNNNNNNNNNNNNNNNNNNNNNNNNNNNNNNNNNNNNNNNNNUAUAACACUUAUCACUUAGAAUCAACCAUUCUAAGAUUUUUUUCCCGGCACAUGUCAAACAUAUCCGCUGAAAAUUAUGGUGCAAUUCUCAUGCUUGGUUUCCCUAAGAAUUCUUCAGCCACGACAUAACUUUUCCACCACACACCUUGCAUUUAUACCAAGCCAAUGCCCGCGUGCAAACUUGUGGACCCCGCUGAUCAUAACAUGUUCUCUUUCAUGGCAACUUGGAGAUCAUAUGCCAAAAGAACUAACCCAGUCUCCUAUCAAAAGGAAACUCACCAUCUGCGAGAAUAUCAGUGUCUCCUUUACUGAUUUUGGAUUAAUUUGCCGAGCCCACUCCACCUUCUUGACAAUUUUCUUGAGGUGCCAAAAUUGUCCACACCUUCAAAUCUUUGUGCAUACCAGAUUGGAUACACCUUUGACUUGAAUUCUCCGCAAGCCAAUAAAAUCAUUCUCCCAUUAAUUUUUCAACAACAUCAAACUUCAACCAAUUUUGAAAAACACCAGCUGCUGACAUAUUUGCUUCCUAUUCUCUUCACCACAUAUUAUUUGGAUUGGCUCCUAUUGCUUCACGUGAACAGUACCGUAUACGUGAAUAGUACCCUGACACCAAAACUUCAAUCAAGGGCUCUGAUACCACUGUUAGGAAAUUGAACUUCCUCCCAAGAUCACUCCAAGUAAUUUAUCAAGCAACAAAUUAAUAAGAAAAUUAAAUGGAGCAUACACCAAUCAAACAACACAAGAUUUAUGUGGAAAACUCCAAAUCCGGAGAAAAACCACAGCCGUUGUCACAAGACAACCAGAGAAAAAUAUUCACUAUGUGGAAAAUUAUUACAACCACACUCUCAGAAAUAAAUUUCUCACCCAAGCCCCAAAUACAUAAUCCUGAGAAAUACCCCUUAACAAAGCAAACUCGUAAUACCCAUAUUAAGGAGCCAAAUGCUCCUUCAAUAUAACUACAUGCUUAAGAAUAUUUCUCUCCCAUGUUGGAAGCUCUCAAUGCUUCACUUGCAUUCACCAAUUGAAUGCUCUCAAUUGGAUUGCUUCUCUUGGAUUUGGAUACCAAGCUCUCGAAUGAGAGCUUCCUUUUAUAGGCAAGAUUUUGCCUAAAAUCAAGCCCACCAAUCUUGAUCAAAAUUAGUGGCUUAGCCAUCAAAUUUGAUCAACAAAUUUGAAGCUACCUUUCUUUGUUCUUCUUUUUUUUUUUAAUCAAUUUUCAACAUUAUCUGCUUCUCCUCGGCAUCAUCCAGGACCACCUUGAUCGUCACCAAUAGCUCCUCCCAUUUCUUAAGAUCAGCUUCGAUUUGUUCUUGGCGUGCAAAUAACUGAAUCACCUCCGAAGCCAGCUUUUCAACCAACAUCUCAACAGUGACUGUUAGAAUGGCCUCUCCAGUGAUAGAUAUUUUUACCUUCUUUUAAAAAAAAAUUGAAGGAAACAAAAGGACUUGAUCAAGAGGAUGAAGUAACGAAAUUACGCAGAACAAAGAAAAGGAACAGGUUUUUUUUUCCCCUUUUAUUUAAUCAGGAAAAAAUUGAUUAUGAAAAUGAAGAUGAGAAAAUGUACUGGAAAAAGAUAAGGGACUGUGGAAGAUGAAGUAGAGAAAAUCUGCGGAGAUAUUGAACAGCUGCAAGCUAGGAACAAGUUCAGUUGGAAUAUUUGUGGAAAGCUCAAUUGGCAAUUAACCUUGCUAAUAUUUCCUCUCUUUUCUUUCUAAUUCACAUAGAAAGAAAAUCUGCGUUUAUGUUUUCAGAGUCAAUUUGAAAUUUUAAUAUAGUGGAGGUUUUAACAUCUCUCUAAAAUGCUUCCAUCAACCCACUUUUAAAUUUUAUUUCUUAUAAUACCUCAGGUUAAUUUAUAAAAUACUGAUUAUAUAUUAAAAUCAACCAUCUUAUCAUAAAAUUUUACUCAAAAAUUAAUAUUUCUUUCAAAUUUUUAUUUAUAAAAAGCAUAAAAAUCUUAAAAUCUGAAAUUAUAAAAUUUUUAUCUCCAUAAUCCUAAAUUUUUAUAAUUUUCUCAACACUGAUUAUUUUUUUAAUUAAAAUUUAAAAAUAAAUAUAAACUAUGAAAGAGGAUGGAUGUAAAAAAAAUUUUAAAAGAAGGUUUCAUUUCCAUUUUAAAUAAGAAAUGAAUUAAUUAGUUUUAGUUAUUUAAGUAAUCUCAUCUGAAAGGGUUUUACAAAGAAUUUUGAUUUUUAAGGGGUGCCAGAAAGCCUACUCAUUUUAUUAUUUUAAUUUUGGGUCUUAUUAGAGCCCAUAAGAGUAAGACAAUCCAACUAAUGGCCCACCUGCUACUCAUUUUGCAUAAAUGAUCUCUUAUGCGUUGAUUGAAAUCUAACGGAUGAAAUUGGCUGAUUGUAGUUACAAUAAAUGUAAAUUACAGAGGGGAGUGGAUGUAAGCCAUUUCGAGAUGCAUUUUUAUUUUGUUUUCAUUGAAAUCGGAAUAUUUAUUUUUCAGCAUGGAAUAUUCCGUCGCAGAAAUAGUUUCCGGUUCUUUUUUAAAAUAUGUGAGAGAGAGCAGGUGAAAGGAAAUUAGGUCAUCCAAUCCAUCAACUUGCUGCAAAUAAAUUGGAUCCGGCUACGGUACCACAGUGGUACCGUGCCACUUCUUUUGUUUUUUAUGAUUGUGUUAUUGUAAAUUUUCAUAUAAUCCCUUUCACUAAUUUUUAUUUAAACUUUGCUUCACAAAUAUUAAGUUAAUUUCUCCCAAACCCGUGAAUCCUUCAACGUCCGAUCAACGGCAAAUCAAUUCUUUUUUUUNNNNNNNNNNNNNNNNNNNNNNNNNNNNNNNNNNNNNNNNNNNNNNNNNNNNNNNNNNNNNNNNNNNNNNNNNNNNNNNNNNNNNNNNNNNNNNNNNNNNNNNNNNNNNNNNNNNNNNNNNNNNNNNNNNNNNNNNNNNNNNNNNNNNNNNNNGAUGACCGGCGUCGCACGAGCUUCCGAUCGGUACCAACCUUGGCCGGUGGAGUGGCCGGAAACGGAAACUGCAUGCGGGUUGGGUUUGCGGGUUCGGUUUGACCCGGUUCUUUUUACGACAAAGAUGACAUGGAGAUGACCGGCGUCGCACGAUCUUUCGAUCGGUACCAACCUUGGGCGGUGGAGUGGCCGGAAAUGGAAACGGAAUCCGGGUUGGGUUUACGAGUUCGGGUCGAUCCAGUUCUUUUCCUUGUUAAUUAUUUAAUCUCAAAAUUAUAAAGAGUGGGGUAUUGUGAUAUAGGUAUAAUAUAGAAUAAAAGUUUAUAAAUAAUAAAUAAUAUAAGGUGUUAACUAAAAUAUUUAUAUGGAUGUAGUAGAAAUUAACUUAAUAUUUGUAAAGCAAAGCUUAAAUAAAAAUGAGUGAAAAGGGUUACAUGAAAAUUUACUAUAACACAGCCAUAAAAAAUAAAAGAAGUGGCACGGUGGUACCGUAGCCGGAUCCAAAUAAAUUGCUAAUAAAAAUUUUAAAACAAGCCACCCUGCCAAGUGCCAACAUCGGAUAAUAUGGAGCAUCUUGCCACGCCACCGAUGUUGACUAAUGAGCACGAGUCUAUAGUGAACGACUUUUGACCAUCACCAACUUUUUAAAAUUGGUCUCCUGUUCUUGCCUUACAUACAAUUUCUUGUACUGCUACUUUUACCUGGCGAUUGAUGCUAAAAAAAAAAAAAAAGAAAGAGGUGUAGACAAUGCUUAAUUAAUUUUUGGGGAAUUAUCAACCGUAUAUCAUUAAUUUGUUCCGUUAUCAAAUUUACUACAACACUUUCAGGGUAUAUCAAUCCUCCACCCUAAGUUGACAAAAUGUAUUUACCGUCCACCAAACCAUUAGUUGCUGUUUAAAUAUGAUGAUGUUAGAGGAGUGAUAUAAUUUUUUCAUAUGAUACAAGUGAUAAUUUAAGGGUAUAUAAGUGAUAAUAAGAGAUUUUAAGGGUAUACAAAGGAUAAUUUUUAAGGGUAAAAUUGUUAAUUCACUAUAGUUCCGUUAACUUUCAAACGACAACUAACAAUUUAGUGAUUGGCAGAUAACUUUUGUCAAUUUAAGGUGGACGAUUGAUACACCGUUAAAAUAUUGUAAUAUUCUUGAUAAAAGUAUAAAUUUAAGGUAUACGAAUGAAAUUUUUCUUAAUUGUUUAACGCUUCAUCUCUAUCAAGAUUUAAAUUUAAUAAUUAAUUAAAUAAAAUUAUUUAAAAAUUAUAUAGUAAAGUUCCUAACGGUGACAAUCACCGACUUUUUAAAUAAAAUGACAUGACAUAGAUAUUAAUUAGAUAAUACCAUCAAAUGAUCUAUAUAAUCAUUUUUAUUAAUUUUUUCUAAAACAAUAUAUAUUUUUACGUCAUUUCAAUUUAUACAAAUAAUUAAUUCUCCAAAUAGAAAAAAAAAUUUAAAAAUAAAAAUAAAAGACUUGCCAAGCUGGUCCUACCACAUUUGUCUUUACGAGCUCUCAAUGUAAAUGUAUACAUAAAUAGAGUCUUCGAGUUUUUCAAAAAUAAAAUAAAAUAAAGUCUUGGAGGCUCGAAUCUCGAUGGGGUCUUUGCUUUCCAUUUUGUAUUUUUCUUUCUUUUCUUUUCUGCACUCAUCUUCUGCCAUGCGUGGCUUUGCUAACUAAAAUCAAUAACCUUGUAAAUAUACUUCUGUAACAAAACUCAAAUGUAGGACGGAGCAAGUGGUUAUGGAGUCAAAACUUGGGCUAUACCCAGCCCAAAUUGAAAGAGGGGCCCAGAUACCUUCUAAAUAUAACCCGUGCUAGAAUUCCUUUAAAAAAAAAAAAAACUAGUUAAUUUCUAGUUAAAAAAAACUAGUUUUUUUUUUUAAAAUUGAAUGAAUUCCUCAUUCAUUAGAAAUAAAAAAAAAGGCAAAAAUAAUCUUAUAAUUAACAACCAUCCCUCAUCUCUUAAUUUCUAACCUUCUCUCUCCCGUCUCCAUCGAAUACCUUGAAUUAAAAAUGAAGUUUCAAUUUUUUUUAGAUUUUUUUUUCUAUUCUCAAUUGGAAGGAUGAAAUAUGUUCUAUAUACUAUCGUUUAAUUGCUGUACCAAACGUCCUUUUAAUCCCAUCAAAGACGUCCAUCAUCCAUUUACGAGUUAUAUAUGCUUAUAGCGGUUAAAAAAAGGGUAAUUAUCACAAACCUCUCCUGAGGUUUAGCAUAUUCUCAGUUUGAUAGAUUGUAUUCAAGUAUUUUCAAAUGCCUCCCCUAGCGUUAGUAUACCGUUUCGUAUAAAUUGGUUGGUGAGGAUAAAAUUGUAAAAAGACCCAUUAAUGAUAAAAAAAAAUGGGUUAAUUCCGUCCUGCCCCCAAAUGUUUCAACAUUUUUCACCGCGUCCCCAAAUGUUUCAACAAUACUCACUCCACACCCAAAUAUGUUAUUUUGACCAUUUAUUCUAACGGUCAAACGGCAAAUUUGGAAAUUCAUGCCCUAAAUAUUAUUUGAUGAUGAUAAAUUAAAUUUAUUUGAUAAUUUAAUUGAUGGGAUUAUUAUUAAUUACCUUUAAAUAAAUUUUUUAAUGUAAAUAUUAAUUAUUAAAUUAACAUUUUAUCUCAUUUUAUUCUUCUCUAAUUCAAGAUAAGGGGUAUUUCGGACAUUUACUUAAAUUUCAAAUAGCUCCGUUAAACAUAACCGUCAAAUUAACGGAAUUGGGUGUGGAGUGAGCAUUGUCGAAACAUUUGGGUGCGGGGCGAAAAAUGUCAAAACAUUUGGGGGUUGGGUGGAAAUAACCCAAAAAAAAUUAAGAAAGCUUGAAAAUUGUCACGUUGGGUUUUGAAAUUGGUCUCAACUUUGUGAAUGUCCAUUGGGUAAAGAACAAAAGCAAAGCCUUUACCCAGCAGACAUUAACACCCACUUAAAAACAAAAGGAAAUAUGUUCCUCUCUUUCCUCUAUUCAAAUCGAAGCCAUGAAACACAACAUCCCUUUUAUCUUCUCUUUAGUGCUUUGAUUAAAAGGCUUGCUCACAAAUGGGAGAUCAUGACACUGAAUUCAGAGACGCCAAUACUAGAGACGACUGAUUCACGAUGGCUAUGUGGAAGGAUAUCGACCAAUGACUUUUGCAUUCGACCCACAAAUAAUCCCAGUGUUUUCGAGCCGCAAAUAAGGUACGAAUCAGAUUAUUUCCGUGCAUGUCAGUUUUGUUAGCUGAAAAUUAGGAGAUUUGGUUAAAAAAAGAAUAAUGGGUCUCGAAAAUUUUUUGAGAAUUUUUUGUUUCUUCCUUUUUUUUGUCCCGUCGAUUAGUGUUAGUUGUAGGUUAAUGAUUGCUGCAAAUGCAUGUUCACUUGUGAUUGAUUGAAAAUGGCUCUGAAAACUUUUUAUUCGUUUAAGGUACUGUUGCUGAUUGUUGAAUAUGGAUUCAUGCCAGUCUUUGUUAAUUUAAAGAUUGGAUUAUUUUUUAGGAGAUUCACAAAACCUUCUCUGCUCUAGAUUUGGCUUCUGGCAUACCGGGUUGGCUGGAGAUAAUUGUUUUAUAAUCGCUGCUGCCUAUAUUAUUCAAGAAGAUUGAUUAGGCAAUGUACUGGGUUAGAGAUUGGUAGAACUUUGGAAAAUUGGUUGUAGUUGCAGCCUGGUUGUGUUGUCAAAUAUUGUGAUAUGUCAAAUCUGUUUUCUCUGGCCUAACAACCUAGAAUCUGAGCUAUGUCGCUAUACAAAGUCCUGACAUAAUCAAGCUUGUUAGCCAAUGUCCAAAAUUGCAGUGUCUUUGGAUAAUUCCUGUCUUAUUUGUUCGAGUUAUAAAUGAAAAUUUCAGUGUAUUUGGAUAUCCAUACUGAAUGUUAAAGUUAUUGACAAGAGUGGACCCCCAGAUUCAAGGCCAACGCUCCCUGUUGAGAAGCUUUACAUAUAUAGGAAUGUCGCUGGGCAAAGGAUUGAUAUGCUUGUUUUUGUUUGAAAUAUGGACGAAGAUUUUGCAUCGAGACUUUCCUGACAGAUCAUUUCGCAAAUCAAGCUCCAAGUAUCUAUCUUCAGACUCUUGGAUAUAUAUAAAGCAGGUUCAUGCUGUAUAUGUGACUCAUUGUAUCAUGAUUAUUUUUCUAUUGCUUAUUGCAAUUGUAGUCCGUGAUGAAGUUGGGGAAAACUUAUUAAGGGUAUAUAGAGGCUCGAAAUCUCAAUUGCCAUUCAUUUUACACUUGGCUGAGCUAUAGCAUACCUGCUAGCGAUUAAUAAAGAAGGUAUGAAGCUCCUGUUGCUGGUGGUAUUAUCAAUCAAAGUUGUUAUUUUACUUGGGCAUAGUUACCAUGUAUACAAUUUGCAGACUUUUUUCAUGUUUACGCAUUCGAUCAUCUUUUUGUUAAGCUAGUGAUGGUCGAUUUGUGUAUUCAUUUGUAUCACUUGUAGCCCUAUAGGAAUAAAAUUUAAAAUUCUAUUGCAUCUCCUGUACCAAAUACUAAUUCGUUGGCUAUAUAUAUGGGGAAAUGGCUUCAUCAUCUUAUUUCUUUGACAUGAAUAGUGUAACAUUAUCUAAAUUCAAAAGUAUUUCUAUCACUUGUGUAAAAAACAACCUACUUUUUUUACUCUUCUUAUAUUAAAUAAAGCAAAAUCUUCACCAAGAUUGAAAGAAAUUUGAUGCAGAAAGCAAAGCAAUGAGGCAAAGUGCAAAAAAGCUUCCUUCUAAUUCUGCGAUAUUUGACUCAAAUCUUUUCUUUGUUUCAUUCAUCAAAGUCAUUUUGGAAAGUAGUAGGGAUGAUUUGGUAUUUUCAUUGUAUUCGCCUUCCCUGGCGCCAGAACAAACAUGCUAGUACGAACCAACAAUUUUUUAUUUGUCAUUUUAUCAUGCAACAAACGGUCAAAUUAACAGUAUACUAACGUCGGGGGAGGUUUUUAAAAAUAUACGAAUACAAUCUAUUAAACUGAAAAUAUACCAAACCUUAGGGGAGGUUUCUGAUAAUUACCCGUUAAAAAAAUGUCAACUCAACCCCCGGAACCCCAAAAAAAAUAAAAAUCUGCACAAAAAACUUUGAAGAUAUAAAAAUGGGGUAAAAGCUCGUUUAAUCCCUAUAUUUUGAAGUUAGUGCCCGUUUAGUCCUUAUAUUUUUUAAAAUACCUCAAACCAUCCCUACCAUUAAAUUAUUGACACUUUUGCCAUUAUCUUUUGUUCAUUUUAACUUAUUUUUAUAAUAUUACUCUAUUAUAAUAAUUUUUUAGACAUUAUUAAAAAGAAAAAAAUAACCCUAUUAUAAUAAUUUUUUUAGACAUUAUUAAAAAGAAAAAAAUAAAUUACCAGUUUAACACCAAAAAAUAAAAUAAAAUAAAAAAUAUAUAUUAAUUUUUGUGGAACACACUCUUGAGUUAAAAUAUUAAUUUUUCUAAAAAAAUUGAUAAUGUAAUUUUUUAUGAUAUUAAUUUUUUAGACAUACGUGAGCUUCCACAAAAAUUAAUAUAUACCUUUUUUGUUUUUAUUUUAUUUUUGAGUUUAAUUUGAUAAUUUAAUUUUUUAUUAAUAUCCAAAAAAGAAACAUUAUUGUAAAAAUGUAAUAUUGUAAAAACAAGUUAAAAAUAAUAAAAAAUAAUGGCAUAAGUGUCAAUAUUUAGUAGCAGGGACGUUUUGAGGUGCUUUUAAAAAUACAGGGACUAAAUGAACACUAACCUCAUAAUAUAGGGACUAAACAAGCUUUUACCCUAUAAAAAUGAGCUUAUUAUUUAUCAUAAAAGAUAAAAUCGACUGCAUCGGGUUCCAUUAUUGACGGAUCACUCGAUCGGGCCGAAGAAACAAAAUCCAAGUUUUAUCAGAACUAGUUUAUAUAAAUAUAAAUUUCAAUAAAUAUUAAAAAGAUUAAAAAAAGUACAUUAAAGUUGGUCUUUUUACGUGAGCACCAUUAUACACACACACAAAACCAAAAGCACUGCAACACAAACAAAUACGACGAGGACUUGUGGUGUUGCCUUGCUUUUGCUUAACAUAGUACCCUGCAUUUUAGCAAUCAGAGUCACAAUUUAUUUUGCCUUAAACUGUUUAUAUUGGAAUUGAUAACAUUAAUUCUCGUGGGAGUUAAGUAGAUUAGGGUGGUUAUGGCUAGUAAAAGUACGAGGCAAGAAGGUAAUGCCAUGAACAGUGAUUCUUCACUGAGAAGUUUGGGUGGGACUGGAGGGGUUUAUAUUCUGCCUAUUAAGUCGGCACUGAUGAUGAUGAUGAAAGAUGAUGAAAGCAGUGUGGAGUAUCAGGGGCAGCAGCAACGUCGUUUGACAUGGGAUGCUCUCUGUAAGAGUAUCAACGGGCUUGUCAACAAGGUCAGUGCUUCGAACAUCAAGAAUAUAAUUCCUGAACUUUUUUAACACAAUCUGAUUCAAGAACGAGGUCUAUUCUUUCGUUCGUGCAUGAAAUCCCAAUUGCCAUCGCCAGGUUUCACAGAUGUGCUAGCUCAAAUGUAUGAAGCCACUAAAUUACUUUUGCGAUUAAAGCAUAAACAACUACUGAAGAUGGAACGACACAAAGUCCACAAAUCACUAGUAGUUAUGCUGCCUUCACAUAGAUUGUUGUUGCAAGGUCAACACCCUCAAUUUUAUAAAUAAGGCAUGCUUGCCAUCACUUCCAAAAACAAAUCAUCCAAAAAUUCUCCACUUUUUCAUUAACAUUAGUAAAUAAAAUCAAGUCUAAAUUGUUCCUACAGUGAAUUCCUUUGAAAUAUGAGAGCCGCCUUUUGUAUUUCUUUGUUUGACCCCGAAAGUUUAGGUAAAAGUCAAUAUUAUAUUAAUUAGUAAUUAGAGUUUAACUAUUAAGUUAACUAAAGCCUUCCCUUCCUAUUUGGAUUAGAUUAUGUUAAUUAUCAAUAAAAUUAAGAAAAAAAGGAAAGAAAAUUUAUUAGAAUAUGUCAGUUGUGCAACUUACGGGUAGCUUAAGUUUUUUUUUUCUUUUGGGAUUAAGUUCUUAGUUCAUUAAGAAGAAUCUGGUUAUUAGACAUAUAAUUAUUAUUGAUAAUUGAUGAAUUUGACUAAAAUGUUCCACAGGGAAGAGACAAGAUAUGCUUUUUUUUAGCCACUUAAAUUACAAGUUUCCAUGUAUCUAGGAAACAUACCUGGCUUCAUAUGUUUUUGAGCUGGCUUCAAUCAAUUCUCUUUCUUAAUUUUCAAUUAGAAAAUGAACAUUGGAUCUCUCUAAUAGCUAGCCUUCAAUCAUACCAUCGCACACACGGCAAACCUAAAGAUGAUAAGGCAAGCACAUUGGUUGACCAACACACAAAUGAUUAGCUUUCAUCCGCCUUUUUUUUUUCCCUGUUAUUACGUAUGAUAAAAUAUAAAAAUUUAUAUAUUUUUAUCCAAUAACCCAAGGGUGGAGAUAGCAUAUUCAUUGAUUGAGAGGGUUUAUUCAACAAUAAUAAAAAAACAAUUUCAAACAAUAAUAAAUAUAUAAAUUUGAAAGAUUUAUCAUACUUCAACAUAUGUUUACAAUUAUUAAUGAGUUUGUGGGCCAUUUAAAUUAAAUUAAUGUUGAUAUUUAUGGGUUAUAUUAAAGUUUGCAAAAUGUUAUAUUAAUUUACUUGUUUUGCCUUCUAUUUACAAGUCUUAUGUUUCAUUUAUAUUUUUUAUUUUUGUUUUACAGUUAAUGUUAAUUUACAAUUUUUAUUUUACAUCUGCAAAUUUUUAUUUUGCUUAUCAAUAAUACACCAAUUUACCACUUCUAUAAUAAUUUACUUGUUUUACCUUCCAUUUACAAGUCUUAUAUUUCAUUUACUUAAUUUAUGUUUUAUUAUAUAUUUGAUGUUGAUUUACAAGUUUAUGCUAUCUCUACAUGUUGUUGUUUUGUUUACCAAUGAUACAUCAAUUUACUAUUCUUAUUUUAUUUUACUUGUUUUACCUUCUAUUUACAAGUCCUAUGCUACAUUUACAUAAUUUAUAUUUUAUUUUACACUUAAUGUUGAUAAUUAUUAAUUUUUGUUUUUUUUACCAAUAAUACAUAAAUUUAAUAUUAUGUUAAUUUACUUGUUUUGCCCUCUAUUUACAAGUUUUAUGUUACAUUUUUUUUUUUGUAUUUUUUUACCAUUGGUACAUCAAUUUACCAUUCUUAUGUUAAUUUACUUUGUUCUAUCUUUCAUUUACAAGUCUUAUGCUUCAUUUAUUUUUAUGUUUUAUUUUACACUUAUUGUUGAUUAACAAGUUUUACAUUAUAUAUGUAAAUUUUUGUUUUGUUUACUAUUGAUAACCAAUUUGACAUUCAUAUGUUAAUUUACUUAUUUUACCUUCCAUUUACAUCAUUUAUGUCUUAUUUUAUACUUAAUAUUGAUUUAUAAGUUUUAUAUCAUAUCUGAAAUACAAGUGUGCAACCCAAGAGGGGGGGUGAUUUGGUAUUUUAAAAAUUAUCCUAACAAAACCACAAAACAAUCAAAUCUAACGCCUUAAUAAAUUCGAAAGCAAUAAGUUCGAUAAAAGUACAAUAACAAAUGAGUAAGAGAGAAGAGAAACAAACACACGAAUUUUUACGUGGUUCGGCAAUCCCCGCCUACGUCCACGCCUCCAAGCAAUCCAAGCUUGAGGAUUUCACUAUCCAAGCCUUCCAAAGCUUCAAAAGUUUACAAUUGACUUCAAGGUGUCAAUGAACCUUUACAACAAAGAGAUUAUCUCCCAACCUCUUCACUCAAGUGUCUCACACACUUAAACACUCACAAUUAAGAUGAGGAAUUGAAGAUUACAAUAAAAACUCUCUUAAAGAGUAGAUAUACAAAUUGAAGAACAAAAGAUGAUUCAAGGUUUUAUGAUUUGCGAAAUGAGAGCUCAAUGAACAUUAUGUGCUUUUUGAUUUUGCUUGCAAGCGUUCUUGAAAAUGAAUUGGAUUUGAGUUUAUAUAGUUUGAACUCAAAAACUAGCCGUUAUGCACAUUUUGGUGAUAACCGGCUUACCUUUUAUGGAAUCCGGUUAGCCACUUUUAUGUUACUGUUAAGGCAAAAAUUUGAAUUUCAGAAUAUCCGGUUAGCCGCUUUCAAAAUUUGGAUAGCCACUUGCGAAAUCCGGAUUGCCGUUUACCAUAUUCGGUUAGCCGCUUGCUACAGUAACCGGUACAAUGCACUAUUUUCCAAAAUUAUAGUUUGACCCCAAAAUUUUAUAAAAUUGUAUUAUGGCCCAAAAUGUUAUAUUAUAUUAUAAAUAGGUCCAAUUUCAGGAUCUUUAAAUAAUGCUUGCUAUUCUCAAAAAUUUCUGAAAUUAUAAUAUGGCCCAAAAUGUUAUGAAACUUUUCUAAUAAGUUCUUCUCUAAAAUUUCGAGCAAUACUUGUUGAUUUCAAAGUUUUCAAAACUCUUUCAAUUAAAUCAUAAACUUGAAAAACAACUAAUUUCAUAAAAUCAUUUUCCCAUUAAAUAUAAAACCUUUAUAAUGUGAAAAUAAUGAUUUAUUUAAAAUAUAUAAAAAAUAAUUUGAGCUUAAAAGAUUAAUCAUUCUUAAUCUUGUUUGUUAUCAUCAAAAUCAACAUUAUGGAAAUAUAUAUGUUAACAAUCUCCCCCUUUUUGAUGAUGACAAACAUUUCAUGUAUUUAAAAAAUGAUUCCACAAAUUGCUCCCCCUAAAUAUAAUCUCCUCUUACAAUUUGCCAAUUAGCUAAAUUAACAAAUUUAAAUACAUGUAUUUUUCUCCCCCUUCAUCAUCAAAAAGAAAACUUAAUUGGUAAAGAAAAAGAGUAGCAAAUUUUUAUAAAUUUAAAACAUGUAUUCUUCUCCCCCUUCAUCAUCAAAAAGAAAACUUAAAGGAAAAGAAUAAGAGUAGCAAAUUUGUUACCCAUGUUGUCCGAGUAGAAAUUACGAUAGAAUCUCCCCCUAACAACAAGUAUAACCUCAAAUACAGGUUUAGUAAUAUUACUCUCAAAUUAUCAUCAUCAUAUAAUCCAUCAACCAUAAAAUGAUCAUGAACUAUUAUUCCAUUAAUUAUCAAAUCAACAACUCAAAACAUAAAAUCAUCAUAUAAAAAACCAUGUAAUCAAAUCACCAUCAUACUCAAAAUCAUCACCAUAAGCACAUAUUAAUCAUCAAAAGAAUAUUCAAAGUGUAUGUUAUUAUCUCCCUUUUGACAUCAUCAAAAUGAUUUAUUACUUUGUCUCCCCCUUUGGACAAUAAAAAAGUUCAAAAUGCAUAUUAUCCAAAAUAGAAUAAGUAAUAAGCUAAGCAAGGGAAGGCGAAAGUCAUAAGAGCAUAAUGUCAACAAUCCAAGCUCUAUAAUUACUAAUCACAUUUUAGAAAUCAAGACAACUAAACUCAUCAAAGAUCUAAUGUGACAUUUUAAUAAAACUUAAAAAAAUUUCAUAUGCUUAAGAAUUUCAAAGUAUAUGUAUUUCUUCCUUACAUAUCAUAUUUCCCUCUUCAUCAUCAAAUAUAGUAAAAAGCUCCCCCUAUCAAUCAUCAAAAACUCAAUAUGAGCACAUUAGUUCCACAUUAUCCAAAUAUAAAACAUCUAAAUAUCAAACAAUAAUCAUCUUCAAUCCACAAUGAAAGUAGCAAUGCAUAUGAAAAUAUAGGUGCAUAAUAUAAAUAAAGAACUAUGGUAAAAACCAUAAGGAGAGCACACUAUGGAAGUAGUAAUUUGAAAUAAUCAAAAUGCACAAAUUCGGAUUUUCAAGAUAUUGAGUAAAAUGGGUAAGCUUGAAUAAAUUAAAAUGAUUUUAGAGAUGCGAUGUAUGAUGUUGAUUAAAAAGAAAUUGUGGAUUUUAAAGAGAGAGAGAAAACCGGUUGACGAAUUAUGAAUGCCCAAAUCCGGCUUGCCGGAUUUCACUAACCGGUUAGCCGGUUAGUGUCCAGUGAGGAGAGAAAUGAAUUCGGUUUACCGGAUAGAAGAAUCGGCUUUCCAAUUUUGAGGCAGAAAAGGAACUUUGCAAAUCCGGCUUUUUGGAUUUCAUAACCGAAUGACUAGUUUGUGUCCAGUAAGUUCCAAACCGAAUCCGGCUUUCCAGAUUUCAUAACAGGUUGACCGGUUUUUGCACAGAAAUAAAAUUUUCUCAAACGGCUUACCGAUUUUCCAAUCCGGUUAUCCGAAAGUCGACCAGAGAGCAACCAUAAGGAAACGGCUUGCCGGUUGGUUACAUGUGGUAUGCUGGUUGUGCCUUAGAGAUCAUUUUGCCUCUUAUUGAAUUUUGGUUAACCCAAAAACUUGUAUUGUACACACCAAUUUAUCUUAAAACUUGAUCAAUUUAAAAACAUUUUGUGAUUCAAAACUUUUCAAUAAGCCAAUUAAUACAUGAGACAUAAAUGCAUACAAGACCAAACAUAUGAAAUCGUAUCAAACAAUGAUGUCAAUUUUAUAAAUAAAUGAUGAUAUAACACAAUUAAUGGCAUAUGAAUUCACACAUAUAUAAGAGAUGGACAAUGAUGAUAGACAAUUAAGAAGAUGAAAUCAAAGACCAUACAAUCAUCAAAAUCAAACAAAGGCAUCAUGAUAAAUCACUCAAUGUUAUACACAAUGACAAUUCCAUCAUGUAAACAUACAAGCAUACUUUCACAAAUUCAUUUAUCAUGAUUCAUUCAACAAAAUUAAUAUGGCAAGAAUUGUUACCAAAACAAUUAAAUCAUCUUGCCUCAUCUUUUUCUCCUAGAUCAUACUCAAGUGAUUAUCCUCACAAGCUUUCAUCAAGGAACUCUCCACCAUUCCUUGAUUGUGGUACCUACAAAGAAAACAUUCACGUUGUGCCCUUUAAUACCCAAAUACUCUUGGGUCCUUGAGUGUUAGCAAUGGUUCCUUUUGGAACCCAAACACAUUUUACUCCAUAAUAUAUCUUUCUUUUAAUAGGACAACCAAGUUUCAUGUGACCGUUUUGAUUACAAUAAUGACAUACAACUUGAUUGUUAAUAGAUGUACUCUUCACAAAGUAGUUCUUAUAAUACUUUUGUUUCAAAUUUGGCUUAUAACCAAGUCCUCCUUUAUCAAACACACAUUUUUGUGAAUUAAUCAAGCUAUCCAACAUCUUUUGUCCAUUUGUAAAUUUUAAAACAAUCUCAUUUAACUCAUUGCUCUUCUUCUUAAGCAUUUCAUUUUCCUUUGUCAAGUCAUCUAUGUGAUAUUCUAGAUGCUCAUGUGAAGUGCUAGAUUUCUCAUUUGAUAAUGCAACUCUAUCAUGCAAUGUUUUAUUCUCUAAUUCUAGGCAUGUAAUCUUUGCACAUAAAGAUUCAUUUUCAUUUUUUAGCUCUACCAUUUUCUUUUUAAGACAUGCAUUCUUUUUACCAAUUUUCAUCCACUCAUCAUGCAAUUCUUUGAAAACAUCAUGUAAUUCAUCAUAAGUAAGAAGAUCAUUUACCUCAUCAAGUUCAUCAUCCGAUUCAUCUCCAAUUGCCAUGAGAGCUAGAUUUGUCAUUCGAAAAGUGGUGAUUAUGGAGCCGUCAACGAUGGGAACCAGGAAAAGUACGGGUGGCGAUCUUGAAGGUUGUGAUAGUGCAAUUGUUUGGCUGGAACCAGUGAUUGUGAAGCGGCUCGAUAGACUCGGGGAAGAAGAUGGCUUGCUUUCGCUGGAAUCACGCGGCCGAUGUCCUUCAAAUCGGUGUCGAGAGUGUAUCGAACCAGUAUUGGGUGUUGCUAGUGCGUGUGACGGCGGAGAAGCUUAGGGUUUUUUGUUUGCAAAUUGUUGGUGACUUGGCGUUAUGUUAUUUUACUUUUGGGUGACUUUGCAAAUUAUUGGUAACUUGGCGUUAUGUUACUUUGCUUUUGCUAGUGCGUGUGACUUUGCUUUUAUUUUGUUUUACAAUUUUUACAAGUUAUAUUUGUAUAUUUGAUUAUUUAAUUAUUUUUUAUUUAAUAUUAUUAUUGGGUAAUGGCUAAGAUAUGUUAUAAUGCUUAUGUAACUAUGUAAUGUCAUAUUUAUAAUAUUCUUUAAUUAAAUUUAUAAUAAUUUUUUAAUUAAAUAAAUAAAUAUAUAUAUAUAUAUAUAUAUAUUUUUUUUUUUUUUUGCGGAUUCACGGAUUUUUACGGAUUUAUAGAAGUAAAUCCAUAUCCAAUCCAUCAACUGCGAAUUUUUAAAUUUUCAAUCCAUAUCCAAUCUACGGAUCGGAUUUAUACAGAUCGGAUUUUCAUGGAUCAGACAGAUUGAGCGGAUUGGAUUGGAUUCUGAACACCCCUAAGAUCUUUUAUAAACUAUCGGAUGUAAAGAUCAUUUACCCAAUAUAUAAUAUAAGUAGGAAUAAUGUUGUACAAGUGCAAACGCAGUCACAAAUAACGCUAAUUUUCAACGGUACUCAGAAAUCCUCUUAAGAUUACCAAAGGCCUUAUUAUAUCUCGGGUAUAUCUUUGUCGUAAAGAUAAUGACAAAGUACGUCUUUAUCGAUGACAGCCAUGGCACCCUCAGCAGCAGCUCUAUGAUCAAAAGGUGACUUUAAUGCUAAGUAAUCACGAGCCAUUCUUGCGAGGGUCGGAUAGAAUGGAGCAUUGCCACGCCGCCAAGCUAGUAUGUCAAACUGUUCGACUGCUGGUACUUUAAGCUCUUUCAUAUACAGAUCAAGUUUUGAUUUUGGUGAUGAAGGCCUCCUUAUGGCGUCUAGCUUUUCAUAUGACUUUGAAUUGUCGGAGUCGGUUGCUGCAUAUGCAUCAUAAACGUCUCUAAAAUCUUCAUUAAUUUUCUCAAGGUAUCUAUCAGCAUCACUGCCAUAUAUCUCUUUGCAACGAAGUUGCACGCCAUCCAUUUUGAACCGUGGGUCGAGAAUUACUGCAAUAGCUCUAAUCGAAUAAUAAUUGCUAAAAUAUAGAUCAAUAGCUGCCUUCAUCACUUUUUUACAAAAAAGACAAUCUUCAAUUGGGUGGUUGCAUCGAUCCUUUAAUAUCUUAUGCACGUAUGGAAGAUCUACAAUUAUUGGAGUAUCACAUUUACCCGACGAAAAGCCGACAGCAGCAUCCUUCAAGAAUUUCAAAUGCUCAAAUGUGGCAGUUACAUCAUCCCAUUUUUGUUCAGUUAAAUUAAUUGAUCUAAAAUCGGAAUCUAAUUGCCCCAGCUCAAAAAAUGCUUCUUUAAAGCCCAUUGCCGUCGCAAAGUACUUAAAAUGUCCCCAGGGAUCAGGAACACGAUUGAGCCAGCAAAUGGCUCUUUGUACAUCACCAUCCAACUGAAUUCGUUCAUCUGAUCCCGACUUGUUAACCACAUAAUGAGCACACUCCUUUAAAGACUUUAUCCCAUCCCUGAAGUAAUCUUCGGAGCGCAAUACACCAUCAAUAUAAUCCAUUAAACGAUCGGCAUUACGCACGCAGCCGAAAAAAGGAAGAGAACCUUGCUGACUAAACCAACUUUCCUCAUCAUAUGCUGGAUGAAUUUGAAAAGGAACAAGUACAGAGCAUAUUUUCCCAUGGAUACUCAAACAUGAUUCUUUCACAUAUUCCAUUGCAAUGUCAGCAUCAUCUACCCAAAAGCUAAUGAUUUUGCUCUGCUGUUGCCAACUAUCAUCAAUAUAGUGUACUACCAAGAAACAUGGCACAUCGAUGGGUCCCAAGCCGGCGCAAACGAGUUGUAAACUGAAACGACAAGAGAGGUUUUUAAGAAAUUGGUGUAGUUUUUCCUUCUCUUCUUGGUAGAGUUGGAGUAUUUCAUCCUUCCUCGAUUUUAACACCGAUGGAUCCAAAUCAUCCCAAUUCUGCCCUUUCUCAUCACUGAAAUCUCUUUCCCUAUUGGAUAAGUGAUCGAAAUCCUCAUCACUAGUAUCUCGUUCUGUAUUAGAGAAGUGUUUGAUUAGAUCAUCAAUAGAUUUUUUCUUAAUAAGACUGGCUAACUUUUUUAACUCUUUUGUUCGUCCUUCACUCUUAGGGUUGGCUUGGCAGCUCUCUAAAUGAUUUUGGAGAUGUGUGGUUCUUUUCUUACUUGAACCGUCAAACGUCUUCUUACAAUGGUUACAUUCAGCCUUGACAUUUCCAUCUGCGUCCCUGUACUCUCUCAUCUCCUCCCAAACAUCUGAAGGCUUUUUCCUUUUCUUAAUAACCGAUGGUGAUGAGCUUCCUACGUUUGGAUCUCCCUACAUAAUUAACAAUUCUCAAAUAAGAUAAAAGGAUCGAUUGCAUCCUCAGCCACUUAAACUUAACUUCAAUUAAUCAAUUAAGCUUACCAAAUGUUUGGGGGAAAAAUAAGAAAGAUAGCAAAACGCCACGUGUCAACGAAUGGAAUAACUUCAGUGCAAUCCGAGGUACCCCGCAAGAUUAGAGGUACAUGCCAUGAUUUGAGGUACCCGGCAUGAUUAGAGGUACCCGGCAUGGUCAGAAGUACCCUGCAUAACUCCAGAGUAACUCAAGGUAUCCCACAUAGACUGGGGUACCCCGUAUAAUUCGAGGUACCCGGAAUAACUCCAGCAUAAUUCAAGGUACCCAGAAUAACUCGAGGUACCAAACAUGAUUAGAGGUACCCGGCUUAAUUAGAGGUACCCCACAUGAUUAGAGGUACCCGGCGUGAUUAGAGGUACCCGCCUGAUUAGAGGUACCCUGCAUGAUUAGAGGUACCCGGCGUAAUUAGAGGUACCCGACUUGAUUAGAGGUACCUCGCGCAAUUAGAGGUACCCUGCGUAAUUAGAGGUACCCGGCUUGAUUAGAGGUACCCCGCAUGAUUAGAGGUACCCAGCCUGAUUAGAGGUACCCGGCGUAAUUAGAGGUAUCCGGCUUGAUUAGAGGUACCACGCGCAAUUAAAGGUACCCAGCAUAAUUAGAGAUACCCCACUUCACUCCAUAUUAACUCGAGGUACCCCACAUGGAUCGGGGUACCCAAUAUAACUUGAGGUACCCGACAGGUCCGACUCAGGAGAAUCCUCUAAAAAAGUCCGCCAUAGGAAAUAUCUCCAUAUCUUGAAGGACAAUAUUUGAUUUUGUCAGAAUUAGGAAUAAAAAACGUCGUGCUAAAAUUGGGGGACUGCCACCUGCCACCUCUGCCAAAAGUGGAGGACACUGUCCCAAGGACAGUGGUCCUCAGCCGCCUACCCGACAACUACUGCAGAGGUACCAUGGACCACUUUCCAGCGCGCGCCACGUUUCCAAAGGCUGAGAUACGCCGCGAACAUGCACAUAACGGCCCAAAAAUCAUAAAAAGGUAAAAGGACGUUAGCCAAAAAGGGUACGCCACGUGGCAGCUGAGGUACUCCAUAUAUAAAGGUGUCUAGGUUUCAUUCUCGAGGAUGUUCUGACUCACCAUUAACACUCACACUCCAAAAAAUAGGUUUUCUUCAACCUUAAAUCCUAAUUUACAUAAGGUUAGCCAGCUCUCUUUGCCAUAAAAGCUUGAGUUUGCUAACUUGAGCGUCGGAGUGUGAACGCCGGGGUACCCCGACUUUACCUCUAACCUCUAUUUCACUGUUUUGCAGGAGUGAAGCUCAUUUUGAAGGACAUCUCUUUUGUUUCUGACCUUCCACCAUUGUUACCACUCUCUCUCCCCUUCUCACAUCCCCCGGAUUUCAGAUACACCACACCGCACACAACAAAUUAGUGAGGUACCCAGUCUCCCCCAAAAAAUACAAAUUCAUUGUUCUAGAUAGGUUUGGCUUUUCCUACCCCAAAAUCUGUUGAAAACACCAAAUUUAAUUAUCUAAUACAGAGGUAAAACAAAAGAUCAAUCCCUACUUACGGUUUUAGUUAAACUCAUUUGUGAUUUGUCAAAAAUACAUGCAACUAAUUGGAUAAUUUUGAAACAGUUGUACGCAAUUAAACAAGUGCUCUAAAUGAAAUUGAAUAUAUGAAUUAUAAUAAUUAUUAUUAUAUUUCUGAGCAAAGUUUUGUGACAACUGAUCGAACCGAUAAAUUCGCACGAAAAGUCUUCCCCCGUAAACCGCUCAAAAUUCAAAUUUGUGAUUUGUUUGGUGAAUGAAAAACAGAGCAAAAAUCUGAUUUAGAUUUCAUUGUCAAUUUUUCCCACCAUGCUAAUGCUAUUAAUUUUUGCACACCAACAAAUAAAUAAACAAAAAAAGGAAUAAAAGAAAAUAAAAUCUAAGCUGAAAUUAGAUUUAAUUAAACAUUCUCAGUUUACUUACUUUUAUUUUUAGAAUAACAUUCUCUCUUUACUUCCUUUUAUUUUUAUAAUUUUUUUUAUUAAUCUAUAGAGAGUAAGACAAACGCACCUUCAUGGCCAGUAGACUAGCAGUUACCAGUUUAACACUUGAAUUCACAGCCUGCAAACACAAACAGAAAACAUACCAGUUACCACAUCAAACUCACUCUUUUUUGUUUCAAUUAAGUAAACCAAAGUGUGUGUGUUUAUAACUCAGUAAUAGUGAAAAUAAUAAUAAAACGAUUAAAGGUAUGACAAAAUGAUACAAGAUUAAUACAAAAAGCUUGCUUCAAAAUUCUUGGUUGCUGAUAAAAUUGAAUAAGAGUUGCAGAUCCUGCUUUAUUAGUUAUCUUUCUCCUUCCAAGCUCCAACCUCUAUCUCUUCAAUCAGAGAACUGGUUCUAUCUUGUGAGCUUUCAAUGUGUGUGUGUAUAAAUAAGUCUUCGAAUAUCUGAAGAAAUUAAUGAAGCUCUAUUAUAAUUACCUACUUAGUAUACUUAUCUAAUGAUUAUCAACACUUAUUUAAUCUUAUAAGUUCUUAUCAAAAAAUUUGUCGGUAUUUGGUUGUUUUUUAGUAGAACUUUUAAAUAUUAAAUAAGUAAUUUUACCUUUACUAGUAAAAGUUCAAAUGAGAGUAGAGGUUGAAAAGUUUUUUUCUUAAUUAUUAAAAUAAUAAAAUAUCUUUUAUUUAUUUGAUAAUUUUAUUUCAUUCUUUUUAUAAUAUAAUUUUAAAAACUUAUUUAUUAAAGUAAUUUUAUAAUUUUUAAUAAAAACUCUCAUUAGCAACCAAACAUAUAAAUUUUUUUAGUAUAAACUCUACUUAUAUAAGUUCUACUAACAAAAAUUCUAUUUAUUGAAGCUCUUUUUAAAAAGCCAUAUCAAAGAAGCCUAUGUCUGUGAUGAAUACCAUAUUGCCAAUAUGGUUCAAAGAGCUAAUGAAAAAAGCUGACUAAAAUGGGACACUUGUUCUAUCCCCUACAAUUUCCUUUGUAGUGCUACUUUUACUUUAGUGAUUUUUUUGCUUAUCUUUUUUUUAUUUCCUUUUUAUUUCUUUUUAUUUUCUUAAAUUCUAAGUAAUCAGUACUUUAGAUAAGGUAUUUUUAAAAAAAAAUCUAAAAUAAAGGAUAAACAACCAUCAAAAUUUUUUAAUAAGCUAAUAUGUGGCAUAAAAGUGUUAAUUGAAUAAAUACAAACGAUCAAUAUUAAUUGGAUUUUGUGGAAAGUUAGUGUAAAGUCACAUCUCUAUAUAUCUAUAUCGGGCUAGAGACUGAACGAAAUAUUACUCAAAUAAUUUAGACAAAUUCAACUAAAAUGGAAAAAAUUAGAAAUAACUAAAAAGACUUAAUAGCAAUUAAUAGAUAUUUGUUUGUAUAGAAGUCUUCUAAGCUCCGAAGAAAUUAAUUAGCCUUAUUAUAAGUCUAUAAUGAAUGACAAUAUGAUCCCAAAAGCUAAUGACAAAAGCUGGCUAAAAAUGGGGUCAAUUGUUGGCUACUUUUUAGUGUAGUGAUUUUUUUUCUUUACCUUUUCUUUGUUUCUUUUUUUUUUUUUGUUGGGUUUCCCUUCCCAAUAAGUAAUCAGUACUUUAGGAAAGUUUUUUUUCCUUUUAAAUUUAAAAUAAAGGAUAAACAACCAUCAAUCUUUUGCAUAAACUAAUAUGGCAGAAAAGUAUUAAUUGAAUAAAUGUUAUAUGAUUUGUAUAGUUAUUUUUAUUAAUUGGAUUUUAUGGAGAGUUUGUAUAAAGUCACAUCUCUAUAUAUCUACAUCGGACGAGAGAUUAGACAAAGGGAAAUACUAAUUAAAAUAAUUUAGACAAAUUCAACUAAAAUAGAAAAAGUAAAAUAACAAAAAAGACUUACUAAACUGGUACUAAAACAUAUGACAUUAUUAGCUCUCAAUAUAAUUGUAUAGGUAUAAACAGAGUUUUCAAAGUUCUGCUAAGGCCUUUACUUAUCUUUUUUUUCUCUUUCUUUCUUGAUGUUCUCUUUAAUCAUGGAUGAGUAAAUUUAAAAGAAACCGAAACACUAUAAUGAAAAAGUUAAUAUGAGAACUACUAAGUAAAAGGAAAAAAUAUAUACUAAAUGACAGUUUGAGAUUACUUUAGCAUGCUCAAAAGUAAUUUUGGGAAUUUAAAAGUUAAUUUUAGUAUUUGAAAAAAAACUUACAAAAUCAAUCCCUAUCACAGUUUUGAAAAGCACGAAAGAGUAUUUUUAAAUGUCUAAUUUUGAGAAUCAGUUUUUAUCUUUCUAAUAAAAUUUCAUAAAUAUCCUUACAAUUAUUACAUAAAUUCAACGCUAUCCUAGUCAGAUUGAAAACAAAAUAAAAGUUUCAAUAAAUUUUUAUUAUUAUUUUUUUUAUAAUUCACGCAUUCGUUUACCCUUUUUUCCCUUCAUAUUUUUCAUUCCACCAAAAAAUUUUCUCUUCCAGCAACCAUAGGAGCAUCGUUGGUUUGAAUAUCUAUUCUAUUCGAAUAAUCCAAAAUUCCACUUAGAAAUUUGUAAGAUCCAUUUAAUUAAUGAGGCCGAAUUUAAAAGUUACAGUACAUUCUCUCCUUGAGCUCAAACUCCAUUGUUCCUCACAUUUUCCUUUUUAUCAAAAAUUGCCUUUGAAUUCAAGGGCACAAUGGUCAUUUUAUUUAAAUUCUAUUAAAUAUUCUAGUGGUGCUAAAAGUUUGGUGGAAGGUUGAUACAAAUUACAAAUUUAGGGUGGAAAAUCAAAUUAAUUUAAAUUUUUAUACUAUUUUUUAUAACAAAAUAAACUUAGGUGAAUAACUAAUAAUUUUCCAAAAAUAAAUUAAUUAAAAGAAAAUCACAUAAAGAGACGUAUAUAUUAAACUGUUAAUUUAAUGUAAUAAUAACGAUAUAAUGUGAUUUCAUUAUCCUGAACAAUUAUCUUUAAAAAAAAAUUCUUUUUAAUGAUCAUUGGUCAUGACCUCCACUAAAACCGUAGAGUCCCAAAGAAGAAAUCUACUUGAGGUUUGAAACUAACACUUGAAUUGGGACACGACUAAAGCAAUUCAGUUUACACUUGAAAUCUAGUUGGCUUCUUUGAGCUUCAGCAAUCAAAAUGUCUUUAGCUACACACCACUAUAUUAAUGUUUAAUAUGAAUCAAAUAUAAUGUACAAAGCUACUAAUUAAUUUUCGAAUUAAAGCGUUAAUAUUAGAGAUGGGACAACAAAUUAAUAACAGAAAACUUCUCCACUUUUUUGCCUUUUUGUGUGAAAUUCCAAGCAGAGAAAAUAAUAAGAAAAAGAGUAAGUAUAAUAAUGGUUGAUAUUGAUUAAUCACUUCAAUAAUUAUAAAAAAGAAUAAUAAUCUACUAGCUAGAUAAAAUCAAGUUUAUAUAUAUCUUAUUCUUACAAGGAUUGUUCGAAAAUUUGGAGAGGCUUUGGUAUCAUGUUUCAUUGUUUGAUCCCGGAUGGAUGUGUUUUCGUAAAAAUUCAAUUUUUAAGAAAUUUGAAAUUAAACAAUGCUUGGAUUGGGUUGGAACGGCUUUGUCAAGUUUUAAAUAACCAAAUUAGUACGUGGCGUUGUUAAACUCGGUCAAUGCAGAGACUAGUCUGCCUUUGGAACCAGAUCUGACUUAGAACAGAUCAAUAUCCCGCAUGUCCAAGUUUUCCAGCCGAUAUACCAAAUUAGCUUGUUUUACCAAAUAAUAAUUAGAUUCUUUAAAUGGACCUUCUUUGGAACGCAGUUGUUUGAUUUUAGAAUUAUUUUACCAGAUGUAUAUUAGGUUUGUUUUGCAAGCCUAGCAACAACAUACAUCUAAAGGCUCAUACACAGUACCAGAUCUGGAUCCCAGAAAUGGUGCUCUGAAGGAAUGGAGGGAGAAGAGAAAAUACAACUAAGGAUUGAGAUCUGGUCUCGUUGCCUCAGAGGAACGUAAUAGUUGUAUGGCAGAUCUGAUAUAGACCAGUCUGCAAAGCAUGCAUAGAAUUUAAAUGCUUUAAAAUAAAUUGCGAAAAUUAAAUUGCUUUAACGUAAAUUGCGGAAAUUUAAACAUACAGAACUUUAAAAUUACAAACUUUGAAAGGAAUUACAAAUCUUACAUCUGAUCUUUCUUGCUUUGUUUUGCUUUAUAGAAGAAAAAUGGGAAAUUAAUCUGAAGACAAGGAACUAAUCUGAAAACAGAGAAAUUUCCUUGGUGUCUUCGGAUUUCUGAUUCCCAGAGAGAGAGAGAGAGAAAUGAAAAAUAGAGAGAGAGAGGGGUUGGAAAAAUCUGAGGAGUCUAUGUCUUCCUUCAGAUUUUUAUACAAAAAUUUUUAAACUGUAGACUGUAGCGGAGCUGAGGCAUACAGUAAUCUUUGAAACUCUUCACUGUAGACUGUAGCGGAGCUGAGGCAUACAGUAAUCUUUGGAACUCUUCAUUGUAGACUGUAGCAGGGCUAUAGCAUACAGUAAUCUUUGUAUACAGACUUUAAAAUACAAGUAUGAUACGGGUGAAGAGACAUGUGCGCUCUCACUUGUGUCCAGGGGACCACCCGAAGAUGCAUACAAAAAUUCAAAAUAAAACACAAUCGGAAAAUACAUAAUGAAUAUUUACUUUUUUUUUAAUACAUAUAAGCGAUAAUUAUUUACAAUGCUUUAUUGGAGAGAAAAUUUUGAAACAGUCGUCUUCAUUUUCAUCUCCAAGAGAAAUAAAAAGCUCUUCAUCUCCGGAGGUGCUUGAGGAGGAACUUCCAACAGACGUUUCAGACCUCGUGGCGAGAAGCUGUUGCAUAACUUUAAAAUACUCUUCUUCAGUUUUGGCACUGGCUAAAAGAGAUUGGGCUUUGGAUUUUUGGGUUAGAAAGGUUUGUUGGGUUUUGGAGUGUUUAAUGGUUGGUUCAAGGAAACCUUUGGCAGAGAGCCAAUUUCGGAUUAAGGUGUCAGUCAAUUUAGACUGUUCAUCAAAUUUUGACCACCAUUUUACUCUGAAUGUUCUUUAUAGGAUAAGUUGGGUUUCUUGGGUGUGAUAUUGGAGGUUCCACAUCCAUACCCAUGGAAGGAAGAAGUUUGUACAAAAACAAACAAAUGGGGGAAACCUUUUCUCUGAUUCAGAAGGGAUAUAGUGGGCUUUGAAGAGGUUUAGACAAUGGGUGGCAUUUGGAGUUAGAAUUUGUGGCAUUGGGCCAAAAUAGUUCCACCAUUGCUGGAACCAGUUUGGGAGGUUUUGGACGGUUAUUUUUGAAUUGAAGAAAAAUAACCAUGAGUGGGUCUUUUUAGGGUUUUGUAAAAAGAAUGUGUUAAACCAGGCUUGUUGAUAAUCCCAAUAGGAAUAAGUCAAACAAUGUGGUAAACGCAUUUGAAAAUUGGAGGGAAAUCUUUUUUGGUUAUGGAGUAGAUCACCCCACUGUUUUGGGUUCAAGACUUUUAAGAUUGUGGCCGUAGAAUAGGCCGGCUCAGAAUGGGAGUCACUGAGAUAAAAAUGUUUAAAUUUAACCGACUCAGUGACUUCCAAAAUGCUUUGAUAAUAAGGCUGGGAUUUUGUUAAAUCCCAUGGUUUAAAAAACUAGCCUUUGGGGAAAAACUUUGUAAGUGUUUGAAAUGGGUCAGUAUGGUAAAACCCAUCUUCGAUAGUUAAAAUAUUUUGGAAAUGGGUUUUAUCAAACCAAACCGAGGUUUUCUUUGUUGGUUGUGAAAGGACAAUUUGUGAAGAUGAACUCUCACCAGAAAUAAUAUUUUGGGAUGAUUUUGUGAUUUCUUUAGGGCUUUCUUUCUCAGAAAUCUCUGUUGGAGAUUCUUGGCUUUGAGAGAAGCUUUGUAAAGCAAGCAGGAGCUCAGGGGAUUUUGAUAUGGAUUUCAUCCAUUAGUUCACUUGGUCUUGAGUAGAAAGGGCUUUAGAUUUUACUUCUUCAUCUUCGAUCAUGUCAAUCCAAGAUUUGAUUGGCAUGGCAGAGGAGAGUAGUUUUUCUUUAGGAGGAGAGGAUUGGGGUUCUUUAGGAGUGGCUUUAGGUUCAAUGUCUUUGGCAAUGCCUUUUCCUUUGUCUCUUCUUUUUGGCGGCAUUAUCUGUUUUGAAGAAAUUCCCUGGUUAGAAAAUCAGGAAUAGAAUUUGUAUCACCUUUAAUAAAUUCAAUAUCAAAAUCAAAAACACUUAAAAUAGCUUGCCAACGUGCAAAAAUCUGUUUUGAUGCAAUGUUUUAAACAUCUUUUUCUAAAACAUGUUUUGCAGCUUUGCAAUCAAUUCUAAGUAAAAAUUUUUGAUUUAAUAAAUCACUUUGAAAUUUAGAAAUGCAUAAAACAAUGGAAAGAAUUUCUUUUUUAAUAGUAGAAUAGUUUUUCUGACAUUCAUUCCAAUGGGCAGAAACAUAUUGUACUAUUUGUUCUUUAUUAUCUUCCUUUUGUUUUAAUAUACCUCCAUAACCUAAAUUUGAUGCAUCAGUUUCAACAAUUUUAGGUAAUGCAGGAUUUGCAAGAAAUAAACAUUGAAUGUUCUUUACAGAAUUCUUUAUUAACUUAACAGUUUUAGUAUGUUCAUCUGUCUAUGCAACAUGAUUCUUUUUUAACUUAUCAUGCAAUGGUUUAGACAUCCUAUUGAUGUUAGGGCAGAAAUCAAGAACAUAAUUUAAACUUCCAAGAAAUCUCUGCAAUUGAGUUUUAUCAAGAAUUUUAUCAGGAAAUUUAUCAGCAAAUGCAAGAGAUCUUUCAAUAGGGGUAAUUGUUCCUUUUGAAAUAUGAUGACCAAGGAAUCAGACUUUUGUUUGAAAUAAUGAAACUUUAGAGCUAGAAAUGGCCAAUCCAGCCUUUCUGGUGGCAAAGUAAAAAGUCUUUAAAUGUUUGAAAUGUUGGUCAAUUGAUUGAGAAAAAAUCAACACAUCAUCUAUAUACACAAUGCAAAAUUCGGAAAAAGGGUUAUAAAUAUCAUUCAUGAUUCUUUGAAAUUCCGAAGGUGCAUUUUUUAAACCAAAUGGCAUAACAGUCCACUCAUAUUGUCCGAAAGGAACAGUAAAAGCAGUUUUGUAACGGUCUUUAGGGUGAAUUUGAAUUUGCCAAAAACCAUAUUUCAUAUCAAAUUUAGAAAAAAUGAAAGCAGAACAUAAUUUUUGAAGUAAAUCUUUUUUAUUAGGUAUUGGGUACCUAAUCCAUUUUAAUGCUUUAUUAAAGGGUUUAUAAUUAAUAACUAGUCUUGGUGUUCCUCUUUCAAUUUCAGAAUUUUUAUUUACAUAAAAAAUAGCACAAGACCAUGGAGAUCUAGAUUUCACUAUGAGCCCUUUAGACUCUAAAUCUUCGAUCUCAUCUUUACAAUGUUGUUCCAAAUCCAUGUUCAUUUGAAUUGGACGGGCUUUAGUGGGAAUUUGUCUUUCAUCAAAAGAAUGUUCAUAAGGCAAAUCUACCAAGUGUUGUUUCCUAUUCCAAAAAGCAGAAGGUAGAUCGGCACAAAUUUCUUUUUCAAUAAGAGUUUUGAAAUUGGAAAUUUUUCUCUUUAUGAAAUCACUUUGUAAUUGGCUCUCAAUCAUUUUUAACUUAAAUCCUUUUGUAAAAACAUUAAAUCAUUUUGUCUUGAUCUGAGAAGAUUAUUGAUUUGAUUCUGAUAAACAGAACAAGCUUUAACAAUAUUCAAAUUUCUUGUUUUUGGUUUUUCAAUAAAUGGGAAAAUAAUUUUUUUGUUUUUUGCUUUGAAAGAUAUACUAUCAUUGUUGACAGUAUAGGGAGUAAUAAGAUUUAUAAAAGGGGUUCCUAAAAUGACAGCAUGGUGUAUGUCAUUUGUAAGAACAAAAUAAGUUCUAAAUUCAAAACCAUUGUUAAGAAUUGAGGCUUCAACUUUAGAAUUGACUUUAAGUUUUGAAUUGUUGGUGGCGGAAAGUCUUUCUUUUGUUUUCUCAUGAAAUCUUUUGGGGACAAUGUCCUCUCUUAUGCAAUUCAAAUCGGCACCAGUGUCAAAAAGGGCAAUGGCGUCAAUUGCAAAAUCUUUAGAAAAAACUAAGGUGAUUUUAAUCAAAUAUUUUCUCGUAGUGAUCUGUUUUAAAACAAAUAGGAAAUCAUUGGGUAUAGACUCAAUAUUUUCUAAGUUUUGAUCAUCAUUAUCACAAUUAUCAGGAUUGGAUUCAUUAUCUGAAUUUUCCUGUAAUUGUUUUUGUAAAAGAAGUUGGAUAGUUUCAUAAUCACUCUUUUGCUUUUCUUUCAACUCUCUUAUCUCAAAUUUAAUGUCUUUAAUCUCCUUUUGAAGAUCAUGAAUACUGGGGGUAAUUUUCUUUGUUUUUUUUUUUGUCUAAAAUUUCAGUAAGAUCAUAGGAACUCUUUUUAACAAUUGGAACUUUGGAAGUUUCUGCUUUAUUAAAAUCUAGAGUUUUCAAAAGCUUAUCAAGAUAUUCUCUUUGAAGAUUCGGAUCUGAAAUAUGUUUAACAAGCUCAAGAAAAGUUUCUUGGUCUUUAGUCAAAACAUUGAUUUUCUUUAAAAACGAAUCUGAUUCAGAAUCACUACUGCUAGAUGCAGAGGUAUCUGAGUCAAUUAGCUCAUCGACCUGGAAAGGGUCACUAUCUCCCAACAUGGAAGACUCAGAGUCAGAAGACUCUAUAAGAAGAGAGGCAACUUUGGAGAGGGUUUCUUCAUCAAGGCCAAGCUCAUGAAGCUUCCUGUUCAUCCUGCAAAAUUUUGCAGUAUGGCCUUUCUGACCACACUUGAAACAUGUGGCUUCUUUGUAGUUAAAAGGGGUUGUUGGUUUAGCUCUAAAGGUUUUCUUUUUAGAGAAAUUGGGUUUCUUAUAAGGCCUCGAGGGUUUCUUAUAAGAAGGUUCUCUAAAAUUCUGGAAUGGCUUCCUAUGGAUUUUGGAUUUGUAAUGUUUCUUGUGAGGUCUAAAAGAACACUCACCAUUACAAUCUUUGGAGAUGGAAGUUUUAAAGGGGUCAUAAUUGAAUUGUUUACAGAAACUGCCUAAUUCUUGCUUAGAUCUCCUAAGCUCCCAUUUAAGCCGUUUCUGUAAUUUCAAAUCUUGACAAAUCUUUAAUCCUUCCUUAUUAACAAAACUGACUAACUCACCGUAAGUAAGUUCGUCAUAAGGAAUGCGGUUGUCAUAAAGGGUUUUUAUGGAAUUCCUAACCUUUUCUCCCAAAAGAGUAGGUAAACCUGCUAAGAAUUUCUCUUUCCAAGUUAUAUGAUUUGCAUCAUCUCUGAGAAAGAGUCUGGUAAAGAAUGUGGUUUUGUAGCUCUAGAAUUCACUAAGUUUUCUACAUCUUAAAUUAUGUAGUAACUCAGCGUUCUUAUCUCUAAGGUGAGAGGGGUCUCCUAUGAAGUGUAGGGAAAUAGUUAAUAUCAGGGUAGCAACAGCAUCCUGAAUUGGACUAUUGAACUCAUCAAGAAUGGGAGCACCAUUCUCAUCGACUUGAAUGGAGUCUAGGAUUUUUAAUUGUUGUUGUUUGGUGAGAAGAUGAUCCCACCAACCUUUAAGUUGACCUGUAAAACCUGCAAUAAGGAUUUCUGCAAUGGCUUUGUCAGAAGUUCUUGAUUGGGUUUUAUAGGCAUUAGCUGCCAUGGUCAUUUGUUGCAACAAUCCUAGGAUGUUAUACUCAGACAUGCCAUCUAUAUUCUACUCAUAGACAGAUGAUGCAUUAUAACGAGACUGAUUUAAUGCACUAGGCCUGUUGUCUAUGGUCAAGUCAGGUGGAGACUUAACAGUGGGAAGGGCUAAUUCCCAAUGGAUUUUAUUGGCUUUAGGAAUAGGUUCUUCUUUGAAGGCUUCUAUAUCAGAAGAGGCUAUAGACAUUUGGUUUUGUUCUAAUACUCCAAUCUUGCUAUAUUGGGGAGUAUCAGGGGCUAUUUGAACUUUGCUAGAUGAGGAAGAAGCAGCUUCUAUCCUAUCUAGUUGUUCUCUAAUGGCUUUAGCAAAAUCUGACUUUGACUCUUGGACAAGCUUUUGGCUAGUUUUCGAAACCUGAAAAGGUUUGAAAAUAGAUUCUUUAAGCUUUUUGUCAGAAUCCGAUUUUGACGAAACAUGAGAAGUGGAAGAAAUAGCUAUGGUUGACUUUUGGAAUUGGUUUUCUAUUCUAGUCAACUGUUUCCGAUAGUAUUUAAGUUAGUAUUACAGAAAUUAUUCUGUUGGAUAAUACUACUUAAAUUCGCAUCAGUAUCAUUUGGCUUUGUGAUUUUGUAAGGUGAAGCUCUAAUUUGAACAAGAGGUUCACCGUGAUCAACGGUUAAACUCCGAAGAGGUGGAUGCUCAGAUUCUAUGGUUCUAUCACUAUCAGAAAGUUUCCAUUCAGGAAUCUUCUUUCUAAUAGUAAUAGAGUUUGACUCUUUGAAAAGAUAAUUAAUGUUGUUAUCAGAAGAAUAUAUUUCAAACCAAUCAAAAAACAAUAUAUGAAUUCGAUGUAAAUUUACAAAUUCAUAGUAAGUUUGUUGGAUUUCUUUUCUUUGGUUCAAAAAGUGCUUGAAAAACCAAAGUUUUUUUUCUUUAUUUGUCUCAGAAUAAAAAUCAUUAUGAAGAAGAUUUUUAUCUAGCUCAAAAUUCUUUUCAAUAACAUUUAUAACAUUUUCUGUGACAGCAGAAAAAGUAGAGGAAGUUGGGGGAGAAGGUUCCUUCUCUCCUUGCCUUUGUUCAUGUUGACUGCUAGUAUAAACUGGGUGAGGAACAUUUGUGGUAUAGUCAACAGAACGUAUGGAGGAGUUAGGUAUAUCCGAAGUGGAAAACCUAAGUUGAGUUUGAAAAGGAAGAUUUAUGACAUAAGGGAUUUUUGUGAAUUUCCUUUCCAAUGAAGGAAUACUUGAGCACGACUCUUUAUCAGAAAAUCUGGUUGAGGUAGAUCUUCUGAAAGAUAGUUUGACUCUUCCAUCAGAAUACUGAGUCACAUUUUGCAACUCUAUAUUUGGCUCAAGUUGUUUUAGAAUCGCUGGUGGAGCAGCUCCUUCAAGAAUCCAUUCCUCUGGAAGAUGGACAUCUUUCCAUUGGAUUGGUUUUGGAAUGACAGUGUUGGCUUUAGACAAGUCAGUCUGCAAGAGAAGAGUCUCAUCUCUUUUUGACUUGAAUUUAUGUUGCGUACUGAAAGCAGAAAUCAUGGCUUUAUAAGAAAUUUUAAAAAUUAAGGCGACAGGAACAGACCUUUUAAUCAUAUUAUAAUUAUGCGUUUUGAUUUGUAAAAUCAUGCUUUUCAAAAUGUUUUUGUCUUUAAGAGAAAUUGUUAUGUUUGAAUAACAAUCAAAAGAAAUUUGACCUUUACAGAGACUGGAUUCGAUGCUACUUAGCAAAGAAUCAUCAAAAGAGAUGAAUCGCCCAUCUCUCAGGACAGCAAGGAUAGAAGUAUCCAAGCCUUCUUUGGUCAAAGGUUUUAUUCCGACUUGGAUCAAACCGAUGUGAAUGUAAUUAAAAUUCUUUUCUUUCAAUUUCUUUAAAGAUUUCUCUGAAAACAAGUGAAUUGUCUCAAAAGGUUCUGAAAGAGUUAUGUCUCUUUCUUCAGUUUUUAUAACAUAAUCAUUUUUUAAAAAAUCAAGCUUUUUUGUUUUGUAAAUUUUUUCUUUAGAAACUUUUGGAAGUUCCCAACAAUCAAUUGCUUUAUCAAAGUUCUCAAUAAUGAAUUCUUCUGAACUCACAACAUGCUUUGAAUCACUAGUCUUCCCGGAAGAAGAGCUAGAAAAGGAUGAUGUUCUACAGAGUGGAGGAUCCAUGGGUAAAAACUUAUGGUCUAUUUUUGGUUUAGUCAGAAUGGCUACAGGUAUGGUUUUACUGCCCUAAGCGGAAAUCCUUAUCCUAAAACGGGACUUACUACCAGUAAAAAAUUCACCACACAACAAAACUUCAAAAUAAAACACAAGUUUUUAAACACAAAGCUCUUAACCAUAAAACACUUUCCUCUCCUUGGCUCUGGUAUCAUGUUUCAUUGUUUGAUCCCGAAGCCUUAGCUGAGUUAAGAAUCAAUAUUGCUUUAAUUAUAAAUAAGCAAAUUCUUGUAUGAGUACUCUUUGCAUUUAACAACUUCAACACCUAAAGAAAUAUAAAAAAUUUCAAAAUUCAAUUGAUAUUUUGCUUAUAUCUUGAAUUUCAACCAUAAUAAAAAAGAUCCUAAGAAAUAACAAGAUCCUAAGAAAUCUCUCAAUGUGUAUGUAUAUUAUAAAAGUCUUCGUGUGGGGUCACUUGUUCUGUCCUUGCAAUUUCUUCGUAUAGCAACUUUGACUUUAGUGAUUUUUUUGCUUACCUUUUCUUUGUAUCCUUUUUUCUUUUUAAUUCUAAGUAAUCAGUACUUUAGUUAAUUUUUUUAAUUUAAUUUAAAAUAAAGGAUAAAUAACCAUCAGGUUUUUAUAUAAAGACAUAAAAUUAUUAAUCGAAUAAACAUCACAUGAUUUAUGUAAUUCUUUUUAUGUAUAUAACUUUUUUCUUAAUUUCAUUCAGUCACAAGGUUUCUCUUCCAUCAACCAUAGGCGCAUCGUUGGAUUAAAAAUCUAUUCUAUUCGAAUAAUUUGAAAUUCCACCGGGAAAUUUAUAAGAUCCAUUUGAUUAAUUAGGCCGAAAUUAAUAGUUAGAGUACAUUCAAGCCUUGAGCCCAAAACUAUUACUCCUCAGGCCCAAACAUAUUCUAACUUGGCCAUAAAUUGUUUCUGUUAUUGUUUAUUCUGUUCUAUCUCAAAAUUCCAUUAAAAUUUGGCCCAAACGCGCUCCAACUUUAUCAAAAAGUGUUUUUGUUUUUGUUGAUUUAUUUUUUAAAAAAAAAGGGGGCGCUGUGGCAGGUGGCAACCUGUCUUUUAAAUAUUUAUUUAUUUAUUUAAGAUGUGAGAAAAACUCAAACUUUGAGUUUUUAUGUUUUACUUAUUAAAUCUUUUUUAAUUUAAAAAUUAAUAUAGAAUAAGAAUUUGGAUAUUCAAGCUCAGUUUCAACUGAGCUCAAUGUAAGAACUAAGAACAGAGUGUUUCUAUUUUUGUCUUAUAUUUCGCUCAUUUUUUUUUUUACAUCGGGAGGGUAUGGGGUGACCCCGCGACAAAUUGAUCUCAUUUUCAAAAAAUUAUAACAACAAACUUCCCAUUAUUUUUAAAAAAUUCAAAUAAAGAAGAAAUUUGAAGAAUUAACCAAUUAAAUCCACCUUCUUAUAAUUUUUUUGUAAUUAUUUUUUUAUAUCACACGAUUGUUUAAACAUAAGUUUAAUAUGACAAUUUUACUUCAUAAGAUAAAAGUACCAAAGUACCUGAAAAUUUCUCAUUACUUCAAUAAUUUUUUAUACAAAAUUUAUUGUAUCGAAAUGAUGUAUAAGUACAACAAAGUCUAAUUAUUAAUAUUCAUCUAAGCUAACAAUACAUACUUAUAACAUGUGAGGAAUUGAACAUUUAUAAAUUUUGUUUAAAACAUAUUAAAUGAUAAAAUAUAAAACUAAAUGCCUAAAUAAUUAGUUGCUGUAAUGCAUUUUUUUGGGAGUAAUUUAGUCUUUUUAUAUUAUAAGGGUAAAAUAGUCAAAUUAAAUUUAUCUUAAAAUAACCUUAAAUGGUCAAAGAUUAUUAAAACACUUAAGGCAAAAAAAGAAAAAAAAUAUAAUGAGAAUAAUUUAUUUAAUUAGUUGUUCAAACUUAUUGUUAAUUUGUAAUUUUAUAAAAUAAAAUGAAUUUAUUGUAAUUAUCUUGUUGUAAUGAUUUGUACGGGGAAGUGGCAAACUGGCAGUCUAGCUGUCUUGAUUAGUUCUUCGAAGAUUGUGCGGAAGCAGAUAACAAUCAAAACAAAAUUAAUUAAAUUGCGUGGUCUAAUUAAGGAUUGUGAGAAAACUGCUUAAUCGUCACCUUGUACACAUUUACUANNNNNNNNNNNNNNNNNNNNNNNNNNNNNNNNNNNNNNNNNNNNNNNNNNNNNNNNNNNNNNNNNNNNNNNNNNNNNNNNNNNNNNNNNNNNNNNNNNNNAUUAAUAAAUCAUUAUUUGGGUGAUUAACCACUAAUUCAGUCCUAUUGGAUUUAAUUGUUAAACACCAGUACUUCACAUCAUCAAAUGGAUUAUUUUGCAGUGCUUUAACAAAAUUUGUUUGAUUACAAUCCGGCGAUCUGAGGUUGAUUUGGUAAAAUCUUAUUUUUAUAAUUAAUACUGACUUUAAUGAGAGUUAUUGGGUUGUUUAUUGAAUUUUAGUUAUGCCAACGGAAAAAAGAUGUAUUAAUGAGAUAUUUUACAAACUAUAGGAUGUAAAGAACACUUAUCCUAUGUAUAAUAUAAAUAGGAAUAAUGUUGUACAAAUGCAAACGCAGUCACAAAUAACCGCUAAUUUUCAGCGCUGCCCAAAAAUCCUUUUAAGCAUACCAAAGGCGUUUUUAUCUCGGGUAAACAAUAAACAAAAAAAGAAAGAUUUAAGUAAUCCCUCAGGGCAGGCAAGGCACCCGUGGCAGCGUCAUCAGCAGAAGGUAUUCCUAAUGCUAAGUAAUCACGAGCCAUUCUUGCGAGGGUCGGAAAAGAUGGAGCAUUGCUACGCCACCAAGCUAGUAGGUCAAACUGUUUAUCUCUAGUAACUUUAAGCAAAUCGAAAUAGCGAUCAAGCUCUGAUUUUGGUGAUGAAGGCCUCCCCAUGGCGUCUAGCAUUUCAUAUGACUUUGAAUUGCUGGAGUCGGUGGCUGCAAAUUUGUCAUAAACGUCUCUAAAAUCUUUAUUAAUUUUCUCAAGGUAUCUAUCAGCAUCACUGCCACAAACCUCUUUGUAGUGAAGUUGCAGACCAUCCAUUUUGAACCGUGGGUCAAGAAUUACUGCAAUGACUCUAACCCAAUAAUAUUUGCUAAAACAUAUAUCAAUUGCUUCCUUCAUCACUUUUUGGCAAAAAAGACAAUCUUCAAUGCGGUGGCUGCAUCGAUCCUUUAAUAUCUUAUGCGCGUAAGGAAGAUCUACAAUUAUUGGAAUAUCACGUGUUUUCCACGGGAAGCUGUCAGUAGCAUCCUUCAAGAAUUUCAAAUGCCCGAACGUGGCAGUUACCUCAUCCCAUUUUUGUUUAGUUAAAAUUAAUUGACCUAAAAACAGAAUCGAAUUGCUCCAGCACUGAAAAUACUUCUUUCAAGCCCACUGCAGCCUCUAAGUACCCAAGAAAAGCCAAGGAAGAAGGAUCAAACCUGAGCCAGGAAAUCGCUUCUUUUACGGCUCUGUCCAACUGAAUUCGAUCAUCUAAUGUUGACUUGUUAUGCACAUAUCGAGCACAACCCUUUAAGGACUGUAUCCCAUCCCUGACGUAAUCUUCGGAAUACUUAUAACGCAUUAAAAAAUCAGCGUCAAGUAGGCAGCAGGCAAAAGGGACCAAUUUCUACUCACUGUGCUUCAAUUAAUAAAUCAUUAUUUGGGUGAUUAAGACUUAAUUCAACUCCAUUGGAUUUAAUCGUUAAACACCAAUACUUCACAUUAAAUGGAUUAUUUUGCAGUGCUUUAACAAAAUUUGUUUGAUUAUAAUCUGACCACCUGAGUUUGAUUUGGUAAAUCAUAUUUCUAUAAUACUGACUUUAAUCAGAGUUAUUGGGUUGUUUAUUGAAUUUUAAGUUGGUCAGUUGAUUAUUUGGUAAAAGCAGCUAAAGGGAUUAAAAUGUUCGAGAAACUUCGAAGCAGUUCCAUCUCAUUUUACUAAAUGCGGAUCAACAUAAAUUUUAUGUUAAGUGCAACAAAUGUCUCAGCCCCAUAAAUUAACCAAAAAAAAAAAUGGUUUAUGAAUAUAAUUUUGUGUGCAUUCUUAAAAUUAUAGGAAUCUGACCAUUUAAAUAAAUUCUGGAGAUGUUAGCUUCAUAUAACUUUUUUUUUUUUUCAAUAAGCUUUUUAAAAUUUAGUGAAGCAUAAUUUUUGUUAUCAUACCAUGCAUAUAAACAGAAUAAAAUACGAAUUCAAUGAAACAAAGUUUUGGUGUCCAAACUCAAUGGAGCCGGAAGGAAAAGUCCUUCGGAUUUUAAACAUCCGUUGGACCAUUAAAUUUACUUGAUGCUAAAUUACAAAAUAACGCGUUAGUUGGAUGAAAUUGUUUGUUAUUUUGAGUGAGACUUUUUGUGCAGGAAGAAUCUGAAUCGGACAAGAGAAGUUUUGGGUGCUCUACGAACACUAAAUUUAUUUUAUUCACUUUUCUACGUAUACAGCGGCAGAGAGUAUAUCGGACUAGAGGGCGUCAUCACGCCUGCAGAAUUUGAAAAAAUUUUAAGGUUAUUAAAUAAAAUAUAAAAAAUUAGUGUAAAAUAUCUAUAUUUACCCUGCAUAAUUAAUGUUUAAAACUUUAAAUAUCGGAUAAUAAAGUAAUUCGAGAAUUCUCUGCGCAUUAAUGUAUGAAAGUCUAUUUCCUUUUAAGGUCUAGAAAUUUUAUAUGGACGAGGGCUUUUUUUUUUUUUUUUUUUUUUUAAGUAAGGGGUGGGCAAAGCUUAAAUAUAUAUAUGAAAAUAUGAAAAAAAAAUCUAAUACAACAAAUACAAUUACAGAGGGGAGUGAAUGUAAGCCAUUGCGAGGUGCAUUUUUAUUUUGUUCUCUUUUCAGCAUGGAAUAUUCCGUCUCAGAAGUAGUUUCCGGUUCUUUUUUAAAAUCUGUGAGAGAGAGUAGGUGAAAGGAAAUUAGGUCAUCCGGUCCAUCAACUUGCUCAAAUAAAUUGCUAAUAAAAAUUUUAAAACAAGCGGUCGGUGGAGGAAAAUUGUCAUUAUAUUUAAACCUUGUCGGCCAUCUGGGAUUUAAAAAAUAAAAAUGAUCAUAAUGUGAUUAUAGGUAGGAAUGGGUCCAGGGAGUGGAGGAAAAAGAAAAUUGAUAUUUAAAUUAUCAUAUUGUCUCUCUGGUAAUUACUUGGCAAAGUUCCAAUAAUUGAACAAUUUUACGGCUUGUGAUGUUGACGUAGUGAUGAAAUUUAAAACACAAUCAUAUUUAAUAAAUUAGACGAUGAUAGACACAUAUUUCACCUCAAAGCUGAAUUACAACAAAAUUUUAAAAGUAUCAUUUCCGUUGAUAAGUAUAUUGCAAUAAUAUAAUUUGAAAAGACUAGCAUAUGUAUAAUAGUAGGGUUGUGCAAACACAAACGUACUCAGAAAGAACGCCAAUUUGGGGGCAUUAUUUAGUUUUCAGCGCUUCACAACCAUCCUGAUCCUUCUAAGCACGCCAAAGCAGUACUUGUUAGCUCGAGGUAGAAUCGCUUCAUUAAAGAGUUAAAGUUUGUUUAAUCCCUAUAUUAUGAGGUUAGGGUGUGUUUAGUGCAUGUGAUUAUGCCAUUAUGGUGUAUUAUAAUACUGUUCACAUUAAAAUAAUAUCAAACCCAUGUUUAGAACAAAAUUGCAAGGGAUUGGGGUGGGGGGCUAAUGCGUCAACUGACGCAUUAGCUUUUUGUUUUUUUUUUCUUUUGCUUUUAACUUUUGCUUUUUGCUUUAUUAUUAUUAUAAUACUAAAAUAAUAAAUAAAUAUAGUUUUUAAUUUAAUAUAAUACUUUUAUUUUAUUUGUUUUUACAUUAUAAUUAUUAAUAUAAAUUAAUAAAUAAAUAAUUUAUCAUUCAAUAAUUGUAUUUUUUUAUUUUUACAUUAUAAUUUAUUAAUAAAUUUAUAACUUAUUAUAACUAAUAAAAUUUAAAUUUGAAUAAAUUUAAAUAAUAUUAAUUUAAAAUUAAUAAUAAUAUAAAUAAUAACAUAAAAUAUUAAUGCAAUUUAAAUAUAUUAAUAUAAUAUAAAACAUUAAUAUAAUAUAAUAUUUAAUUUAAAUUAAUUAAAAAAAUAAUACAGUACAGUGUAGUACCAAACAUUGUACAACAUUAUUAUAAUACAGUGCUAAUGCAAUACAACAUAAUACAAUACACUAGCAUUAAAAUAAUGCAAUCCAGCAUAAUACAAUGCAGUGUGCCAAACGCACUCUUAGUAUCCAUUUAGUCCAUGUAUUUUUAAAAACACCUCAAAACAUCCCAACUACUAAAUAUUGACACUCAUGCCAUUAUUUUUUAUUAUUUUUAACUUGUUUUUAUAAUAUUACACUUUUACAAUAAUAUUUUCUUUUUUGGAUAUUAAUAAAAAAUUAAAUUAUCAAAUUAAACUCAAAAUAAAAUAAAAAUAAAAAAGAUAUAUAUUAAUUUUUGUGGAAGCUCACGUAUGUCUAAAAAUUAAUAUUAUAAAAAAUUACAUUAUCAAUUUUUUAGAAAAAUUAAUAUUUUAACUCAAGAGUGUGUUUCACAAAAAUUAAUAUAUAUUUUUUGUUUUCUUUUAUUUUUUGGUGUUAAACUGGUUAUUUUUUUUCUUUUUAAUAAUGUCUAAAAAAUUAUUAUAAUAGGGCAAUAUUGUAAAAAUAAGUUAAAGGAACAAAAGAUAAUGAUAAAAAUGUCAAUAAUUUAAUAGUAGGAAUGGUUUAAGGUAUUUUUAAAAAUAUAAGGAUUAAACAGAUACUAACUUCAAAAUAUAGAGGCUAAACAAAUUUUUACCCCUUCAUUAAAUUUAAAGUUACAAAUAUUGUGGAAAGCACCAAGAGAAAUAGAUGAUACUAGGUAGUCACAAGCCAGAUAAUAUGGAGUGUCUUGCCACGCCACCGAUGUUAAAAAGCUAACGACAAAAAUAUACUAAAAUAGGUCUCUUGUUCUUGCCUUUCAAUUUCUUGUACUGCUACUUUUACUUGGCGAUUGAUGCUAAAAAAAUAAAAAAUAAAAGUAAGGGUGUAGACAAUGCCUAAUGACAUAAAUUAUUAAUUAAAUAAUAACAUGACAUGAUUUGUAUAAUUAUUUUCAUUAAUUUUUUCUAAACCAACAUAUAUCUUUAUGUCAUUUUAAUUUAUACAAAUAAUUUAUAGCCCUAUCAUUACAUGGGAAUUUUUCGUAAUUUUAUUGAAAGUUUAUUUAAAACUAUCAAAGUUAUACCUCUAUAUAUUGUAGAAAAAUUCAAUAUAAAUAGAAAAAUUUAAAAAAAAUAAAAAUAAAAGACUUGCCAAACUGGUCCCACGACAUUUGUCGUUACGAGCUCUCACUGUAAAAAAGGCUAAUUAGUUAUUAGACUAUCUCCAAUAGAAUUACUCAUUCAUCAGAAAUUAAAAAAAAAAGGCUAAAAUAAUUUUAUAAUUAACAACCAUCUCUCAUCUCCUAAUUUCUAAACUUCUCUCUCCCAUCUCAAUCUAAGACCUUGAAUUAAAAAUAAAGUUUCAAAUUUUUUUUAGAUUUUUUUCUAUUUUUAAUUGGAAGGAUGAAAUAUGUUCCCAUAUACUAUCGUUUAAUUGCUGUACCAAACCUCCUUUUAAUCCCAUCAAAGAGGUCCAUUACCUGUUAGAUAAGCUUAUAUCUGUUAAAAAAAAUAUCAAACCGUACCCCCCGCCCCCCCCCCCCCCCCCCAAAAAAAAAAACUGCACAAGAAAUUUUAAAGAUAAAAUUUCUGUUGACGUGGUCUGGGUUGUUAAAGGUAGUUAUAUGGUUUCCGGAAAUUUUUCAGAAGCGCGAUGCUGGUGUGUGUUAAGGUUGAGAAUGAAGCUGAACCUGGAUCAACUCACGUGGGGAUGCCAGUUGGAGUUUACUUGUUAACCAAGGAAGAUGCUCAAACAAGUAAAGUGAUGCAAUCUACACGUGCAGAGGAAGAAUUCAUUACUAAAACAGCAAAGUUGUACAUUGUUAAAUCAAUAAAACAGUUACAAUUCAUUACUCAAUAUGAUCCAAAAUUCUCUCAGUGUGCAGCACCUGACAUAUAAACCCUUUCUCGCUCACUUCUCCUCCAUUCAGAAUAAUUCUUCUUUCUUUGGGAAUCUUGAAAUCUCUUCAUUAAAAGUGAUCUGUUUGUAUUCAGUUUUGAUUAACGAAAGAGUGUGAAUUUUUCCUUCAAAUAUGGUAGCUUGUUCUUAGCAAUCCAGUUCUGUUUCUUUGUUCAUUGUUCUGAUUUCUUCUCAAUCUUGAUUCCAGUUUAAUCUUGAUUGAUCUAAGCUCGAAGUGUUGUGUUAUCUCUUGUGAUUAGCCAUUACAAAUUACAGCAAGAUGAUGAAAGCAGCGUGGAGUAUCAGCAGCAGCGUUUGACAUGGGAUGCUCCCUAAGAGUAUCAACGGGCUUGUUAACAAGGUCAGUGCUUCUAACAUCAAGAAUAUAAUCCCUGAACUUCUUUAACACAAUUCGAUUCGAGGACGAGGUAUAUUCUGUCGUUCGUGCAUGAAAUCCCAAUUGCCAUUGCCAGGUUUCACAGAUGUGCUAGCUCAAAUGUAUAAAGCUACUAAAUUACUUUUCCGAUUAAAGCAUAAACAAAUAUUAAAGAUGGAACGAUGCAAAGUCCACAACUCACUAGUAGUCAGGCUGCCUUCACAUAGAUUGUUGUUGCAAGGUCAACACCCUCAAUUUUAUAAAUAAUACAUGCUUUCCAUCACACCCAAAAACAAAUCACAGAAAAAUUCUCCACUUUUUUAUUAACAUUAGUAAAAUAAAUCAAUUCUAACUUGUUCCUAAAUGCAAUUGGUUGAAAUUAGGAUAGGCUUUUGUAUUUCAUUGUUUGACCCGAAAGUUUAGGUAAAAGUCAAUAUUAUAUUAAUUGGUAAUUAGAGUUUAACUAUUACGUUAACUAAAGCCUUCCCUUCCUAGUUGGAUUAGAUUAUGUUGGUUAUCAAUAAAAUUUAAAAAAAAAAAGAUAAAGUACUAGAAUCUGUCAGUUCUCCAACUUACGUGUGGAUUAUUUAUUGUUUAUUUUUCAUUUUUUUGGAUUAAGUUCUUAGCUCAUCAAGAAGAAUCUGAUUAUUAGAAAUAUAAUUAUUAUCGAUAAUUUAUGAAUUUGACUAAAAUGUUCCAUAGAGAAGAGACAAGAUAUGCUUUUUGUUAGCCAUUUAAAUUACAAGUUUCCAUGUAUUUAGGAAACAUAUCUGUCUUCCUCUGUUUUUGAGGUGGCCUCAAUCAAUUCUCUCUUUUAUUUUUUAAUUAGAAAAUAAAUUAAUAUCUUACAUUUGGAUCUCUCAAAUAGCCAGCCUUCAAUCAUGCCCUCACACACGGUGCAAACCUAAAGAUGAUAAGACUAGCACAUCGGUCAAGUAACACACAGAUGAUUUACUUUCAUUUGCUUUUUUUUUUCUUUUUUUUCUCCCAUUUUUUAUAUGAUAAAAUAUAAAAAAUUAUUUAUUUUUAUCAAAUAAACCAGGUGUGUAGACAACAUAUUCAUUGGCUUAGGGUUUAUUCAACAAUAAUAUGAAAACAAUUUCAAUCAAUAAUAAAUAUAUAAAUUUAAAACAUUUAUCAUACUUUAAUAUAUCUUUACAAAUAUUAAUGAGUUUGUGGGCCACUUAAAAGUUAAAUUAAUGUUAAUAUUUAUGGGCUAUAUUCAAGUUUUCAAAGCCCAACUUCUUUAAUUUUGUAUUUAAAAAUUUUGGUGGAUAGUUGAUACAAAUUACAAAUAAAUUCAAACUUUUGUGGUAUUUUGUUAAUAAAGUAAAUAAUUUUCUACUUUAUUAUUAAUAGUACAAAGUCAAAAAUACCCUUGAAUUCGAGGAUGUAAUAGUCAUUUUACUUAGAUUCUGUUAAAUAUUUUAACGUGUUAACAUUUUGAUGAACAAUUGAUACAAAUUACAAACAUAGUAGAAAAUAAAAAAAAUAAACUUUUACACUAUUUUUGAGAAUAUUGUAAACUUAGGUGGAUAAUUAAUAAUUCUUCAAAUAUAAAUUAAUUAAAAUCACAUAAUGAGACGUAUAUAUUAAACUGUUAAUUUGAUUUAAUGUAAUAAUAACAAUAUAAUGUGAUUUCAUUAUACUGAACAAAUUUCCUUAAAAAAAAUUAUGUUUAAUAAUCAUCCAUCAUGACCUCCACUAAAACCGUAAGUCCCAAAGGAGAAAUCUACUUGAGUCUUGAGGUUUGACCCUAACUCCUGAAUUAGGACACGAGUAACGCAAUUGAGUUUACACUUGAAAUCUGAUUGGCUCCAUUAAGUCUCAGUAAUCAAAAUAUCUUCAGUUACACUCGACUAGAUUAAUGAUUAACACGAAUCAUCAUUAAGCCUAGCUAGCUCAAAUGUUUAAAGCUACUAAUUAAUUUUCGAAUUAAAGCUUUCAUAUUAGGGGUGGAACAACAAAUUAAUCACAGAAAACUUCCCCGCUUUCUUGCCUUUUUGUGUGAAAUUCCUAGAAGGGAAAAAAAUUAAGAAAAAGAUUACGUAUAUUAAUGGAUAAUAUUAAUUAAUCAUUUCAAUAAUUAUAAAAAAGUAAUAAUCUACUAGCUAUAUAAAAUCAAGUUUAUAUAUAUCUUAUUUUUACAAGUAAUUAGUUCGAAAAUUUGGAGAGGCUCUGGUAACAUGUUUCAUGUAUUAAUUAGUAAAUAAUCGAUUUUUUUUUUAUUGGAGCCCUAGUUUAUUAGUAUUUUAGAAUAAUAAUAGUCUAAGGGGAAAUGACUAGUUUAUUAGUACAAAACUGGCUAUUUCCAUUUCCCAACGCCAGAAGCAGAAGAAUGAAAUAAAAUAAUCAGGAAAUGACUCUGCGUGGGCCACGUUUGGAACAGCGAGAUAAAGAAUGAAGUCAUUCAACCGAGAGAAGAGCACAAGGUAUUUUUUAUUGUUAAAUAAUUAAAUUUUCUUUUUAAAUGGAGAGAUAAAGAAUUUACUGAUUUCUUAAAAAAAUAAUAAUUAAUGAACUGGUUAGACAAUAUUAUAAUUAUAACUCUCUAUUAAAUAUAGAAUAUGUAUAAAUGUAUGUAACUUAAAAAAAAUUAUUAAUUCAAGUAUUAUUAUGGAAAUACUAAAAAAUGAAGCUAUGAGACAUAAGAUGGCUGUCUAAUUUGCCAUGCUUAAAGUCACUCCUACUUCCUAAUUGAAUUAAAUUCUAUUAAUUAUAAAUAAAACUAACCAAAAAAGUAUUAAAUAUGUCAGUUGUGCAAACUAACACUAUUAAAAAGAAGAUAAUUGACGAAUUUAAUGACUUUAGAAAUUGAAAUGUUCGCAGGAAAAGACAAAGUCAGCUUACUGUUAGCCAUUUAAAAUACAAGUUUUAUGUAUAUAGGAAACAUAUCUGUCUUUAAUAUGAUUUUCUUUAGAGUAAUGAUACAUCCAUAAAUUCUUGUACAAACUUAUUUUGUACAAACUGACGUGGCAUUAAUUCAUUAGUUGAAUGAAAAUAUAAAUUAAUAAAAACAAAUCAUGUAGGUCAAGUGAUAUUUAAUUCAACUAAUCUUAUCAUGCCACAUCAAUUUGUACAAAAUAAGUUUGUACAAGAGUUUGUGGCUGUAUCAUUACUCUUUCUUUUAUUUUUUGUAUGAAAUAAACAGGAAUAAUAUUGUACAAAUGCAACGCAGACACAAAUAACCGCUAAUUUUCAACGCUACUCAAAAUUCCUUUUAAGCAUAUACCAAAGGCGUUAUUAUCUCGGGUAUUUCACGAAAUCCAUAAAUACAGUCUACGUCAUCGAUCAGGUCAAACAAGGCACGCUUGGCAGCGUCAUCAGCAGAAGUUAUUCCUAAUGCUAAGUAAUCACGAGCCAUUCUUGCGAGUGUCGGAAAAGACGGAGCAUUGCUACGCCACCAUGCUAGUAUGUCAAACUGUUUAUAUCUAGGAACUUUAAGCAAAUCGAAAUAGCGAUCGAGCUCUGAUUUUGGUGAUGAAGGCCUUCCCAGGGCGUCUAGCAUUUCAUAUGACUUUGAAUUGCUGGAGUCUGGUGGUGCAUAUUCAUUAUAAACGUCUCUAAAAUCUUUGUUCACUUUCUCAAGGUAUCUGUCAGCGUCACUGCCAUAAAUCUCUUUGUAACGAAGUUGCAGACCAUCCAUUUUGAACCGUGGGUCAAGAAUUACUGCAAUGACUAACCAAAUAAUGUUUGCUAAAAAAUAGAUCAAUCGCUUCCUUCAUCACUUCUUGGCAAAAAAGACAAUCUUCAAUGGUGUGGUUGCACCGAUCCGUUAAUAUCUUAUGCACGUAAGGAAGAUCUACAAUUAUUGGAUCCACAGGAAGAUGUCAGCAACAUACUCCAAGAAUUUCAAAUGCUCGAGCGUGGCAGUUACCUCAUCCCAUUUUUGUUUACUUAAAUUAAUUGACCUAAACUCGGAAUCGAAUUGCUCCAGCGCUGAAAAUACUUCUUUCAAGCCCCCCAUCGUCUCGAAGCAUUCUAAAAGACCCCAGAAAGAAGUGUCCGGACAUUUGACCCAGGAAAUCGCUCGUUUUACGGCACCGUCCAACAGAAAGAAUCUACGGUCCUUGUAAUGCACAUAAUCAGCAAAGACCGAUAAGGACUCUAUCCCAUCCUGCAAGUAAUCUACGGUCCUCAAUUUACCAUUAAUAUAAUCCACAAAAUGACCAGCGUCAGGUAGGCAGCUGGCAAAAGGAAGUGAACGUCGUUGACUAAACCCACUUAACAUCUCUACAAUUGCGUCAUGCCGUUCGUCUUCUAGAUCAUCUCGAUCAACAGGAAGUAGAAAGCAAAUAUUCGUGUCGAUCUUCCAAUCCAAGCAUGAUUGUUUCACAGCUUUUACCAAAUUCUCGAAAUCAUCAGGAGGACGCAGAGGCGGAUGUAGUGUAGGACUAGUGGGGGCUGGAGCCCCCACUGAAAAAAAAAAAAACUCAUUUUUGUUUAAAAGAAAAAUUAAUAAAUUUUUAAAUAAUCCCUGUCAUAUUAUUAAAUAGUCUAAGUUUUUCUAGUUUCUACAACUACAGUAGAGAGAACAUUUUCAACAAUGAAAUUUGUAAAGAAUGAACUUCGGAAUCGGAUGAGAGAUAAAUGGAUAAAUAAUAAUUUGAUUGUACAUGUAGAAAAGAUGUAUUUAGUAGUAUUGAUAAUGAAUCUAUUGCACAACGUUUUCAGAAUAUGAAAUCGCGUAAAGAACAAUUGUAAUUAUGUUAUCAAAAAAUUUAUAUAUUCAAGUUUCAGUUUUUAUAUUUUAUUGUCAUUUAAUUUAGCACCCAGUAAAUUAUUUUUCUAGAUCCGUCACUGGGAGGACGUUGCCAAAAACUAAUAAUCUUGCUCUGCCGUUCCCAACAAUCAUCAAUAUAGUGUACUACCAAGACACGUCCUUUAGCAAUUUGUACAAUUUGUAGGGUGAAACGACAAGAGAGUUUAUUAAGAAAUUGGCAAAGAUUUUCCUUCUCUUCUUCGUAGAGUUUGAGUAUUCCAUCCUUUCUCGACUUUAACCGUUGGAGUAUUUCAUCUUUUCUCAAAGUUAACAGCCAUGGAUGCCAUUCCCGAUCACUAGUAUCUCCUUCUGGGUCGAUCAAGUGCUUGAUCACAUCAGGUAGAGAUUUUUCUUUUUCUUUAAUAAGACUGGCUAAUUCUUUUGUUUUGAUUGAUGGGGACAGUGAUUGAUCUUGAUCAUCCCUAUCACGACCACCAGGCCCUUUUCUCUUAGGGUUAUCUCGGCAUCUGUGUAAAUGAUUCCAGAGACGUGUGGUUCCGUCCUUGCUGUCAGCAGGAACCAACUUCUUACAAUGUUUGCAUUGGGCUAUGACUUUUCCAUCUAUGUUGAGCUCUCUCAUCUCAUCCCAAACCUUUGAAGUCUUUUUUCUUUUCUUAUUAGCUGAUGAUGAUGAGCUUCCUACAUUUGGAUCUCCCUACAUUAUUAACGAUUCUCAAAUAAGAUAAGGAUUGAUUACAUGCUCAGCCCCUUCAACUUAGCUUUAACUAAUCAAUUAAGCUUACCAAAUUUAAUUAUCUAAUACAGAGCUAAAACAAAAGAUCAAAUCCGCACGUAAGAUUUUAAUUAAACUCUUAAUUUGUGAUCUGUCAAACAAACAUACAACUAAUUGGAUAAUUUUGAAACACUUAUAUGCAAAGACGUGCUUUCUAAAUGAAAUUGAAUACAUGAAAUAUUAUUAUUGUAUUUCAGAGUAAAGUUUUGUGAAAAAUCUAAAUCUAAGUGUUUAUAAUCCACUGCUCAAAUUCAAAUUUAUAAUUUUUUCGAAGAAUGGAAAACAGAGCAAAAAUCUGAUUUUGAUUUGAGAAGAAAACUUAUUCUCAAUUCUUCUCACUAUGCUAAGCUAUUAAUUUUUGCGCACCAACAAACAAAUAAAUAAAGGAAUAAGAGAAAAUAAAAUAUAAGCUGAAAUUAGAUUCAAUUAAGCGUUCUCUGUUUCCAUACUUCUAUUUUUAGAAUUUAAUUUUAAAAAAAAAAUCUAUAGAGAGUAAGACAGACGCACCUCCAUGGCCAGUAGCAGUUACCAAUUUAAGACUUGAAUUCGCAGCCUGCAAAACAAACAGAUAAAUAUACCAGUUACCAUAUCAAAUUCACUCUUUUUUUUGUUUCAAUUAAGUAAACCAAAGUGUGUGUUUAUAACUCAAUAAUAGUGAUAUUAAUAAUAAAACAAUUAAAGAUAUGAUAAAAUGAUACAAAAAUUAAUACAAAAUGCUUACUUGAAAAUACUGAUAAAAUUGAAUAAGAGUUGCAGAUCCUGCUUUAUUAAUUCUCUUUCUCCUUCCAAUUUUCAACCUCUUAUCUCUUCAAUCAGAGAACUGGUUCUAUGUGGCGAGCACUCAAUGUGUGUGUGUGUGUGGACGCACAUAUAUACACAAGUCUAUCGGAUAUCCGGGUAAAUUAAUUGAUAUCCGUUUAUAUAAAAGUCUUCGGAUCUCCGGAUAAACGUGGGGUCACUCGUUCUUUCCUUGCAAUUUCUUCCUGUAGCAACUUUGACUUUAGUGAUUUUUUUUGCUUACUUUUCUCUGUUUUAAUUCUAACCAAUCAGUUUAGCCUUUAGAAAAUCAGAAUGCUUAUAUGGGGAAGACAGGUAAUGCACAGAGGCUUAAGACGGAGAAUUGGAAAUGGGGAGAAUGUGCAGAUUCACAAUACCAAUUGGAUUCCUAGACCUGUGACUUUUAAGAUUUUAUCUCAACCAACCCUGCUUGAGGGAGCUUCAGUAUCUUGCUUGAUCAAUGAAGAGCACAAAUGGAAUGAAAACAUGAUUAGACAGCAUUUUAUGCCUGAGGAUAUGGAAAGAAUAAUGCAGACUCCCCUCCCGAGAUGCCCUGAACCUGAUGAGCUUUUGUGGGCUUAUGACAAGCAGGGUAUAUACUCUGUUAAGAGUGGUUAUCAAAUAGCCUUCCACCUCAAGUUUCCAAACUGGCCAAGCACUUCAAAUUCCAGACUAACUGAGUGGAAUGUGAUAUGGAAGCUUGAAAUCCCAGCAAAGAUAAAAAUCUUCAUGUGGAGAGCAGCUCAGAAUUUGUUGCCAACUACUGAGAACUUAUGGAAGAGGAAAAUUGUGCAAGAUCCCUGGUGUCCAAGAUGUGGCAGCAAAGGGGAGAAUGUCUUCCAUGCUCUGUUUGCGUGCAAAGCAGCUCAGAAAAUGUGGAAGCUUACUGAUUUUAAAGAAGAUCUAGAACAUAUUGCCAAUCAAGAUAUGUUGAGCGUACUGCAGGGGUUGAUGGAAAGAAGAACUAUAAGAGAAGUAGAGUUAAUCGUGGCAACAUGCUGGGCUAUUUGGCAUUCAAGGAACCUUUUUGUUUUUGAAAAAAAGAAUGAAGAUGGUCAGAUAUCAGUAGCUAAAGCUGAAGCAACUGUGGAAUCGUAUAGAAGAAUCAAAGCCCCCCAACAGCAAGAUAAUCCUCCCCAGGCAGCCGCUACUCAGCCAAGUUGGAAACCACCUCCGGAAGGAUGGUUUAAAAUGAAUGUGGAUGCAACCAUCAAGACGAAAGACCAAAUGGUUGGACUGGGAACAGCCAUCAGAAAUCACAACGGAGAGUUUAUAGCUGCUGCUAUGAAGAAAUCUAGAUAUUAUGGCAGUAUAGCAGCUGCAGAAGCUGAAGCAGCAAAUUGGGGGCUGGAAAUUGCAGAAAAUGCAGCAUGCAUCCCCCUGAUUAUUGAAUCAGAUUGCCAAGAUGUGGUGAAUUUAAUCACAAAAAAGAAGAGUAGCAAGGUGGAGAUUUUUUGGACUAUCUCGGAAGUUCAUGAAAGACUGAAACGUCUGAACCAAGUUACUUGUCAACAUACCCCCAGAAGCUGUAAUAGUAUUGCUCAUACUUUAGCAGGUUUAGCUUUAAAAGUCGUGGAACCUACUAUUUGGUUGGAAACUUGCCCAACCCAUCUGCUAUACUUGUUCUCCUAGUUUUAUCUAUGAAAGUUACACUUUCCUUUCCAAAAAAAAAAAAAAAUCUAACCAAUCAGUACUUUAGAUAAUUUUUUUAUUAAUGUAAAAUAAAUAAUAAACAACUAUCAAUUUUUUAUAUAAAGACAUAAAAUAAUAAUUGAAUAAAUAUCACAUGAUUUAUGCAAUUAUUUUUAUUAAUUGGAUUUUAUUUAUAUAAUUUUUUUCAUAUUUUUCAUUCCAUAAAAAAGUUUUCAUGUUUUACUUGUUAAAUCUUUUCUUUAAUUUAAAAAUUAAUAUAAAGUAAGAAUUCGGUAUCAAGUUCGGUUUCAGCUCAGCUCAAUAUAAAUUAAUAAAUAAAUAUUUAAAAAAAAGAUUGUCAUCUGUCCACAGCGCUUUUUUUUUUUAAAUAAACAAAAAUAAAAACAUUUUUUGAUCAAGUUAGAGUCGUUUGGGCCAAAUUUUAAUGGAGUUUUGAGACAGAACGGAAUAAACAGCAACGAAAACAACUUAUGGUCAAGUUAAAGUAUGUUUACGCCAAAUUUUUAGUAGAAUUUCGAGAUAGAAAGGAAAAUUUGAGGAGUAAUAGUUUUGAGCUCAAGUUGAGAAUGUACUACAACUAUUAAAUUCGGCCUAAUUAAUUAAAUGGAUCUUACAAAUUUCUAAAUGGAAUAGAUAGCUUAGUUGAAUAUUAAUAAAUCAGACUUUGUUGUACUUAUACAUCAUUUAGAUACAAUAAGUUUUGUAUAAAAAAUUAUUGAAGUUAUAAGAAAUUUUUAAGUAUUUUAAUAUUUUUAUCUUAUGAAGUAAAAUAGUCAUAUUAAAUUUAUGUUCGGACAAUCUUAGUGUGGUCAAAUAUAAUAAAAAGUUAAUUACAAAAAAAUGAAAGAAGGUGGAUUUAACUAGUUAAUUCUUUAAAUUUCUUCUUUAUUUGAUUUUAAAAAAAAAAUACUGCAAAGUUUGUUGUAAUAAUUUUCUGGAAAUGAGAUGAACUUAUAAAACUUAUUGCGGGAUCACCCGAAGGCCCUCUCAAUGUAAAAGGAAAAAUGAGCGAAAUUUAAGUGUCUGUUUAAAACAUAAAACUAAAUGCCUAAACAAUUAGUCAUUAUUUUGUUUUUUUGUGGUUAUGACGGUUGUUAUGACAGUUGUUAAUAAAAACCGUCAUAACUUAUGAAUCAUUAUUUUACUUUUUUGUAGUAGUGUGUAAAAGUUUUACUAAUAAAAGCUCUAUUUAAAUAAACUCUACUUGAAAAAUUGCACCUUACAAAGCCUAAAUAUAUUUUAUUCACUUUUCUAUGUAUACUGGCGCGGAGGAUAUAUAGGACUAGAGGGUGUGCCAUGGCGCCUAUAGAAUUUGAAAAAAAAUUAAGAUUACUAAAUAGAAUAUAAAAAAUUAGUGUAAAAAGUCUAUAUUGGCCUUGCACAAUUAAUGUAUGAACUUUAAAUAUUGGAUAAUAAAGUGAUUUAAGAGUUCCCACUAAGGCGCACUAAUGUAUGAUAGCCUAUUUUCUUUGAGGCUUAGAAAUUUUAUAUCGGUAGUGAGGUGAGAACUCUUGCUUUCUAACUAUUUUCCUUCAUAAAUUAUAAAUACAAUUUUUUUUUCGGUAUGGUAUUGACAUUAAAUAAUAAUAUUUUUUUAUGAUUUGAUUUGGUAGUUAUUUAUUAUUUUUAAGAAUUUGAAAAUUGAAAGUUCAAGUUAGAUCUCCUUAGACUUUUCCUUUGAGCCCCCGCCAUUUUACGUAUUUACUUCAACAAAUCAUAAUAAUAUUCAUACAUAUGCAUGAAAAGUAGUAAAUUUAUAAGGAGCAGUACUUAAGUCCGAGCAGAAAUGACAUUAAUUCGAACAUGGUGAUCAAAUCCGAAAAUAUAAACGUUAAAAGCUUAAAAUAUUCUUUCCUCUAGGCAAAGUCCACCGGAUCAUAAUUUUUCGUUCAAUAGGUCACGUCCAUCUCAAGAAAUCAAACCGAAACUAGAAUCUGAAACUUUUUGUCCCAAAUAGACAAAAAUUGAUAAAUAACAUUAUCUACCGUUAAUUAAUAAGUUAAUUAAAAUUUGAUAAAUAACAUCAUCUCAGACAGAGCACUUGACUCUGAAACUUUUUGUCCCAAAUAGUCAAAAUCGAUAAAUAGCAUUAUCUAACGAUAAUUAAUGUUAAUUAAUUAACAUUAUCUGCCGUUAAUUAAUAAGUCAAAAUUGAGAUGUAAUAUACGCUUAUUUGGUAAUUUUAGAUUGAAAAUUAUCGUGAAUAUUAUACAAAUUAAUCAAUCCUAGUACUGUACUUUUUUUUUCAAUUCUUGGAUUGAUUAAAUCUGAAGCAUUAUCUCAGACAGAGCACUUGACUACAAAUGUGGGAAAAUAUAUUACAAGUCUAGUUUCACACUUAAACUACAAAUGUUGGGAAAUAUUACAAGUCUAAUUUCACACUUAAACUGUGUACAAGCAUUAGUAAAGAGCAAAUAUCAGAGCCUUCGAUUUUUUGCUGAAUUUUUCUUCAUUCGGUUUGUCAAACUCUCUGCCCGACUUUGAGGUUGAUCUGACAUUAUCAUCACAAAGAACCAGAAGAUGAUAUGUGCGUACAGUCAACUGCAACAAAGGGGGGAAAAUAAUACAUGACGAAAUUGUUCGGACCAUUAAAAAAAAAAAAAGAGCAAAUUGACAAAAUUAGGUAUAAGAUUUAAACAAAAACGUAAAAGGAGUGCAUGUGUAGUUCUGAAACUGGCAUACCUCUUGGUUAUGAAAAUAAACAUAGUUCAAGAAAAUUCACGGGGAUCAAAGACGAGUUUGUGAUUCAGUCGGACAAAAGGUAUAUCGGCUACCAAGUGCCAAUAUUCUCCUUCGUCCUUUUUGCACCUUUCCUCUAAAUAAGGACAUAAAUAGAUAUCUAGAAACACAAGUGAAGGAGGCAGGCCAUUCUCUGGAAAAGAUUUUAGACUGUAACAUCUGCAGAGCUGAAGUCUUUCCAGAGAAGUGAGGAUGCGUACAAAGGACAGGGAUUCCAGCCGAGGAAAUUCUCUUAUAUCCAGUUCGACUAGAGAAGUAGGAAGCUGUUGGAAGGACUCCUCGUCCUCCCAUCCUCCUGCGAUGAAGAGUUCUCGAACUGAGGUGAGGUUGUGGAACCCCAAAUCGAAGAAUAGUUUACAGAUGUUUGGGCCUUCAAUCUGUAGUGUCGUGACUUUUGGGGGGAAACCAACUUCCUCAGGAAUGGAUGCUAUUCGUGGACAACGUCGUAUUUCCAAACGUUGAAGA
rnacentral:lncRNA from 1 species